rnacentral:lncRNA from 1 species
GUUUUUUGUUUUUGCUUAUGUUUAGGAAUAAAUAAUCCAUCUAACUUCUGUUUGGAUGUGGUUUUAUGUUUUAAUUAGUGUUUGUGCCAAGUAGGACCUAUAGGAUAACCUACGAUGAUAGUUGAUUUGAUUCUGCUGAAAAACAGAAACUUUGCGUGCACGAAUUUAGUUAUGAUAAAUCACAGGAACGUGCUUUUGCGUUGAUUCUUUUUGCUUCUGAUCAACAAACAAAUUGUCCAGGACUUCCUAUUUUGGUAGAAUUUUUAGAGUUCCAGAAGUUUGCGUUAGUUACAGAUUGCUACAGACUGUUCUGUUUUUGACAGAUUCUGUUUUUCGUGUGUUGUUUGCUUAUUUUGAUGAAUCUAUGGCUAGUAAAUUAGUUUAUAAACCAUAGAGAAGUUGGAAUACAGUAGGUUUAACACCAAUAUAAAUAAAUAAUGAGUUAAUUACAGUACCUUGAAGUAGUCUUUAGUUUUCUUUCUCUAACGGAGCUCACGAGAUUUCAGUUGAGUUUUGUGUUGUGAAGUUUUCAAGUUUUGGGUGAAUUCUUUUGAUGGAUUAUGGAACAAGGAGUGGCAAGAGCCUAAGCUUGGGGAUGCCAAUGGAACCCCCAAGAUAAUCCAAGGACACCAAAAAGUCAAAGGUUGGGGAUGCCCCGGAAGGCAUCCCCUCUUUCGUCCACUUCCAUCGGUAAUUUACUUGGAGCUAUAUUUUUAUUCACCAACAUGAUAUGUGUUUUGAUUGGAGCGUCUUGUAUUAUUUGUGUCUUUGCUUGUUAGUCUACCACAAUCAUCCUUGCUGUACACAUCUUUUGAGAGAGCCAUACAUGAAUUGGAAUCUGUUAGAAUACUCUAUGUGCUUCACUUAUAUCUUUUGAGCUUGAUAGUUUUGCUCAUAGUGCUUCACUUAUAUCUUUUGAGCGUGAUAAUUUUUGCUCUAGUGCUUCACUUAGAUCUUUUAGAGCACAGUGGUGGAUUUGUUUUAAAGAAACUAUUGAUCUCUCAUGCUUCACUUAGAUUAUUUUGGGAGUCUUUAAUAGCAUGGUAAUUUGCUUAGUGUUAAUAUACUUGGUGUUCAAGAUAUGUGAAACUUACUUUUGAGUGAAUUGAAUACUAAGAUAAGUUUGAUGCUUGAUAAUUGUUUUGAGAUAUGGAGGUAAUAGUAUCAAAGUCGUGCUAGUUGCGUGAUUAUGAAUUUGAUAAAUACUUGUGUUGAACUUUGCAAAUCCCGUAGCAUGCACGUAUGUAACAAAUUUGAAACAUGAAGUGUACCUGGCUUGUGCAUCCUUAUGAGUGGCGGUCGGGGACGAGCGAUGGUCUUUUCCUACCAAUCUAUCCCCCUAGGAGCAUGCACGUAGUACUUGAAUUUUUUAUGGCUUCUAAAUUUUUGCAAUAAGUAUAUGAGUUCUUUUGACUAAUGUUGAGUCCAUGGAUUAUACGCACUCUCACCUUUUCACCUUUGCUAGCCUCUUCGGUACCGUGCAUUGCCCUUUCUCACCUUGAGAGUUGGCGCAAACUUCGCCGGUGCAUCCAAACCCCGUGAUACGAUACGCUCUAUCACACAUAAACCUCCCUAUAUCUUCCUCAAAACAGCCACCAUACCUACGUAUCAUGGCAUUUCCAUAGCCAUUCCGAGAUAUAUUGCCAUGCAACUUCCACCAUCAUCAUCAUGACAUACAUUACUUUUGUCAUAUUGCCAUUGCAUGAUCUUGUAGUUGACAUCGUAUUUGUGGCAUAGCCACCAUGCAUUAUUUUCCAUACAUGUCACUCUUGAUUCAUUGCACCAUCCCGGUACACCGCCGGAGGCAUUCAUAUAGAGUCAUAUCUAGUUGUAAGUUUCGAGUUGUAAUCCUUGUGUUGUAAUCAAUAGAAGUGUGAUGAUCAUCAUUAUUAGAGCAUUGCCCAAAAAAAGAGAAAGGCCAAAAAGAAAAAAAAGAAAGGCCCAAAAAAAGGGCAAUGCUACUAUCUCUUUUUCCACACUUGUGCUUCAAAGUAGCACCUUGUUCUUCAUGUAGUGAGUCUCAUAUAUUGUGCUUCAAAGUAGCACCUUGUUCCUCAUGUCGUGAGUCUCAUAAGUUGUCUUUUUAUACUAGUGGGAAUUUUUCAUUAUAGAACUUGGCUUGUAUAUUCCUACGAUGGGCUUCCUCAAAUGCCCUAGGUCUUCGUGAGCAAGCAAGUUGGAUGCACACCCACUAGUUUUCUUUUGUUGAGCAUUCAUAGCUCUAGUGCAUCCGUUGCAUGGCAAUCCCUACUCCUCAUGUUGACAUCAAUUGAUGGGAAUCUCCAUAGCCCAUUGAUUAGCCUCGUCAACGUGAGACUUUAUCCUUUUUCGUCUUCUCCACACAAUUCCCAUCAUCAUAUUCUAUUCCACCCAUGGUGCUAUAUCCAUGGCUCACGCUCAUGUAUUGCGUGAAGGUUGAAAAAGUUUGAGAUUAUUUAAGUAUGAAACAAUUGCUUGGCUUGUCAUCGGGGGUAUAGAAGUUGGGAACAUCUUUGUGUGACGAAAAUGAAGCAUAGACUAACUAUAUGAUUUUGUAGGGAUGAACUUUCUUUUGCCAUGUUAUUUUGAGAAGACAUGAUUGCUUUGAUUAGUAUGCUUGAAGUAUUAUUAUUUUUGUGUCAAUAUGAACUUUUGUCUUGAAUCUUUUGGAUCUGAAUAUUCAUAUCACAAUUAAGAAGAUUUACAUUGACAUUAUGCCAAAGUAUCACUCCGCAUCAAAAAUUCUUUUUUAUCAUUUACCUACUCGAGGACAAGCAGGAAUUAAGCUUGGGGAUGCCUGAUACGUCUCCAACGUAUCUAUAAUUUUUGAUUGCUCCAUGCUACUUUAUCUACUGUUUUGUACUAUUGGGCUUUAUUUUCCACUUUUAUAUUACUUUUGGGACUAACCUAUUAACCGGAGGCCCAGCCCAGAAUUGCUGUUUUUUGCCUUUUUCAGUAUUUCGAAAAAACAGAAUAUCAAACGGAGUCCAAACGGAAUGAAACCUUUGGGAUCGUGAUUUUCCAACCGAACGUGAUCCAGGAGACUUGGACCCUACUCCAAGAAGUGUCCGAGGAGGUCACGAGGGUGGAGGGCGCGCCCCCCUGGGCGCGCCCCCUACCUGGUGGGCCCCUCGAAGCUCCACCGACGUACUCCUUCCUCCUAUAUAUACCUACGUAUCCCUGAAUGAUCAAAACAGGAGACAAAAACCUAAUUCCACCGCCGCAACCUUAUGUAUCCACGAGAUCCCAUCUUGGGGCCUGUUCCAGAGUUCCGCCGGAGGGGGCAUCCACCACGGAGGGCUUCUACAUCAUCACCAUAGCCCCUCCGAUGAAGUGUGAGUAGUUUACUUCAGACCUUCGGGUCCAUAGCUAGUAGCUAGAUGGCUUCUUCUCUCUUUUUGGAUCUCAAUACAAUGUUCUCCCCCUCUCUCGUGGAGAUCUAUUUGAUGUAAUCUUCUUUUUGCCGUGUGCUUGUUGAGACUGAUGAAUUGUGGGUUUAUGAUCCAGUAUUAUCUAUGGAAAAUAUUUGAUUCUCCUCUGAAUUCUUUUAUGUAUGAUUGAGUUAUCUUUGCAAGUCUCUUCGAAUUAUCUUUUUGGUUUGGCCAACUAGAUUGGUAGUUCUUGCAAUGGGAGAAGUGCUUAGCUUUGGGUUCAAUCUUGCGGUGUCCUUACUCAGUGACAAAAAGAGUUGCAAGGCACGUAUUGUAUUGUUGCCAUCGAGGAUAACAAGAUGGGGUUUUUAUCAUAUUGCAUGAAUUUAUCCCUCUACAUCAUGUUAUCUUGCUUACGGCGUUAUUCUGUUUUUAACUUAAUACUCUAGAUGUAUGCUGGAUAACGGUCGAUGAGUGGAGUAAUAGUAGUAGAUGCAGAAUCAUUUUGAUCUACUUGUUUUGGAUGUGAUGCCUAUAUACAUGAUCAUUGCCUAGAUAUACUCACAACUAUGCUCAAUUUUGUCAAUUGCUCAACAGUAAUUUGUUCACCCACCGUAGAAUACUUAUGCUCUUGAGAGAAGCCACUAGUGAAACCUAUGACCCCCGGGUCUAUUCUCAUCAUAUCAAUCUCUAUCACUUUAUUUACUUGCUUUGUUUUUACUUUGCCCUUACUUUUUACUUUGCAUCUAUCUAUCAAAAAUACCAAAAAUAUUAUCUCUAUCAGAUCUCACUCUCGUAAGAUCUGAAGGGAUUGACAACCCCUAAGCGUUGAUACCUUGGUUGCGAGUUGGUUGCGAGUUGCUAUCAUUUUGUGUACGUUCGAGGGACUUGUGCAUGGUCUCCUAUUGGAUUGAUACCUUGGUUCUCAAAAACUGAGGGAAAUACUUACACUACUUUACUGCAUCAUCCUCUCCUCUUCGGGGAAAUCCAACGCAGUGCUCAAGAGGUAGCAGCGUGGCUUCCACCGAGCUGCUUCAGCCGCAGCAUGUCUUGACGGCUCCUGAUAGCUACCCCAUGGAUUUUAUCAUGGAGUCUCAAAAUUGCCACCUUAUGGCGCAAUGGCAGAACUUAAAAGUCAAGGCGGCUGUCGGCCAAGUUCAACCUUCUGAACCCGGCGCAACUUUUCACUGUCAUCCGAUUCCAGAAGGAUAUGCUAGGGUGACGGUGGACGGAAUAACGGAGGGAUUUGAGGACCUCCAGCUUGACCACCCUACCGGUGAAGGGGAGACUCGGCUGGGUUAUGCUCUGAAGACUCCAUGCCUAUGGCGGAUGGAGUUCAUCAAGCUUCCGAACUGGACGCCUCCUCCUCCUCCUCCGGCGAGUCAGGGCACUCCACCUCCUCCACCGCCUCCUCCUCCGGCGAGUGACGAUCAGGGCACUCGGCCUCCUUCUCCGGCGUGUGGCGGCACUCCGCCUCCUUCUCCGCCUGCGCCGGCGCGCCCGAGCAGCCAGUAGCCUCCUCCUUCUCCGCCUAGCCAGCAAGGGCGGAAGAGACCCGCCGCCGCCCCGGCUGCUCCGGCGCGUCAUAGUCCUUCUCCUCCACCUCGUAAGCAAGCACGAAAGAAGACAAACGCCGCAGCCGCUCCGUCUGCUCCGGUGUCUAGCAGUACAGCCAGAGGCGGGAGGCAAUACACAUACAGUCCUUCUCUCAAGCCUCUAGAGAAGUUACCGUACGAGAGGACCGAGGUGGAAAACGCGAAGAUCGUGCGGGCUGAAGUGGACGACUUCUUUGAAGGGUUGAAAGCAAAGAGACAUCCACCUCUGGAGAAGAAGGUAGAUCCGGUGAAAGCAAAGCGCACUAUUGAUGCCCUGAGGAAACCACCAAAGUCUCCACCGAGAACCAACUAUGAGCGCAUUACUGAAGGGAAGUACUGUCAGACAUCAAAGGUCAAAAGAACGAGCAGCUGCGAAAAAAAUUGUCCAGCUCGGCGAACAAGCAAAUCAAUUGUGCCCCCCGCUCAAUGUGUCUAGCGGCGACAUCGUCGCUAAUGCUCCGGGGAUGGUGGCCGGUUAUAGCAAUCUUGCAGAUUACCUGCCUGACGAUCAACUUCCUGAUUUCAUGGAGGUGGACGAACACAGAUAUGAGUACGGGAAGCCUCUCGUCAAAGAUGAAAAAUCUCUAACAACGAUGAUGCGAAGAUUCCAUAAUUGGUACAUGAAAACCCGCAGAGAGUCUGGGGGGACGAAUACUUUGUAUCUGAGAAUUAAAGAGGAGCACGACCUUGUUGGAACUGAUCUAUUGCAUGUUCCAUUUGAGGAGUUCUUCGAGUUCUUCAAUCAAAAGGCCCUCGAUAAAUUAACGGUCUUUUGCUACUGUCUAUAAGUACUAUUUCUGUCAUUAAGUCUCUAUAUAUAGCUCGGCUCUUCCAUUGCAUGUAUUUAUAAUUAAUUAUCCUCAAUAUAUUAUGCAUAUUGAAGAUCGUCGAGUGCAGAAAACAAGAAAUGUAUGAUAUUGGGUUCAUUAACACAAAUAUCAUAGAUGAAAUCCAGGUUAAAAAGCACGCCGAAGAGGCCGAGGCCAACUUGCUACAAUCGUUGAUCAAAAAUCAAAACAAAGAUACCAUACUCUUUCCUUACAACUUCGAGUGAGUGUUACUGUCGUGUGCAUAUUUGGUUUCCCUUAUUACUCGAGCGAGGUUAUAGUAAUGUAAUUGAUGAGUUAUGCAUGCGUGCGCAGCUUCCACUAUGUUCUCCUGGAGAUAAAGCUUGAGCGGGGACUAGUAACCGUCUUAGACUCGAGACGAAAAGCUCCUGAAACCUAUGCGGACAUGACUAAAAUGCUCAACAAGUAAGUUCAAUCGAUCAUUAUCGCACCAUAUCGGUAACUUUUUGUUCAUUUCCUGAUAUCUCAAGUAAUAAUAAUUAUUUUCUUUCCCUUGCAGAGUUUGGAAACAGUUCACCGCAGAAGCUCCGGGACUGCCGAAGGAGCUGCGAUAUACAUUCCCGAAAGUAAGUACUACUGGCUAGCUAGUUGCGCGCAUCUCCCGUUGAUUCUAUAGCUAUACUUUCAUCAAUGCCAUUUAUAAUGCUUCAUUAUCAGUUUGAUUGACCUCUAUUUCUCAUAAAGUGCUUGUGACAGGAACAAGGGAAUGAUUUCUGUGGAUACUACAUGUGCGAGUUCAUCUACAACGCGACUUUGAGAAAUAAGCGGGGCUACUCUAAAAGACAAUAUGAAGUGCGUAAGCAAUAAUAUUCACAAUUUCAUUUUAUUACACCAUCAUUUCUGUUGCGUUUCAUUCAUAUAUAUGUAUUAACCCCCUUCUUCAAAUUAGACGUGGCAGAUGCGGAAUGAACUCCUACAACAAGAUCUCAUGAAAUCAAUUCAAGAGGAAUUGGCGGGAUUCUUUCUUGACCACGUCAUCAAUAAAGCCGGAUAAUACCAUGUGGAAGUUGAUUUCAAUUGCUAGGGGAUUGUAAGAGAUCUUACAUAUUGUAUAUGUAUGUAGCCAGUAGCGUCGGAUAGAUAAUAUGAAAACUUGUUAUUCGACCAAUCUCUCGAAGAAGGAGAGGUCGAUCGAUCACUUCUCGUGGUAUGCAUGACAAACUUCUGUACUUAAUGGUUUCCUUCAUUUUCUUACUAGCUAGCGUGUCGAGGGACUCUCUAUGUAUAGUAGGUAGUGUCGACCAAGCAUGGAGAUAAGAGAGGACACUUCUCCCUAUUGAAGUGAGAGAUUCACGAGAGCCGGCGGCAGACCCGGACCAGCAAGGAUGCGGAGCUCUCCUCCAGCUUGCGAACACCCCAAGGAAGCACCGGAACAAGGUCACUUCUGAUUUAAAUAUGUUUUAUCCUUUGGCGGGUGAGGGAGUCCUGGGGGUGUCCGGAUAGCCGAACUAUCACCGUUGGCCGGACUCCUGGACUAUGAAGAUACAAGAUUGAAGACUUCGUCCCGUGUCCGGAUGGGACUUUACUUGGCGUGGAAGGCAAGCUUGGCGAUACGGAUAUGUAGAUCUCCUACCAUUGUAACCGACUCUGUGUAACCCUAACCCUCUCCGGUGUCUAUAUAAACUGGAGGGUUUUAGUCCGUAGGACGAACAACAAUCAUACCAUAGGCAAGCUUCUAGGGUUUAGCCUCUUUGCUCUCGUGGUAGAUCUACUCUUGUACCCAUAUCAUAAAUAUCAAUCAAGUAGGAGUAGGGUUUUACCUCCAUUGAGAGGGCCCGAACCGGGGUAAAAACAUCGUGUCCCUUGUCUCCUGUUACCAUCCGCCUAGACGCACAGUUCGGGACCCCCUACCCGAGAUCCAUCGGUUUUGCCACCGACAUUGGUGCUUUUAUUGAGAGUUCCUCUAUGUCGCCACCUUUAGGCCCGACGGCUCCUUCGAUCAUCAACAACGACGCGGUCCAGGGUGAGACUUUUCUCCCCGGGAAGAUCUUCGUAUUCGGCGGCUUUGCACUGCGGGCCAAUUCACUUGGCCAUCUGGAGCAGAUCAAAAGCGACGCCCCUGGCCAUCAGGUCAGAUUUGGGAGUUUGAACUACACGGCUGACAUCCGCGGAGACUUGAUCUUUGACAGAUUCGAGCCACAGCCAAGCGCGCUGCACUGUCUCGAUGGGUAUGAUCUAGCUCUGCCGCCGAACAGUGCCCUAGAGGCCGCACCAGCGUCUGCUCCGACCCUUAGCUCGGAGCCGACUUCGCUGAUCGAGGACGAGUGGCUGGACACUGCUUCGGGGGCUACGAUCUCUACGGCGAUUGAGCCGAACACCAUCCCUAUCCUUGGCAAAGCCCAUGAUUCCGAGGUGCCGGACUCCUCUUCGGACUCCGAACCUCCCGCGCCCCUGCCAAUCAAAUCUGAUUGGGCGCCGGUUAUGGAGUUCACUGCCGCGGACAUCCUUCAACACUCGCCCUUUGGCGACAUCCUGAAUUCACUAAAGUCUCUCUCUUUAUCAGGAGAGCCCUGGCUGGACUAUGGUCAGGAAGGUUGGGAUGAGGACAACGAAGAAAUUCAGCACCCACCCACCACCCACUUUGUAGCCACUGUUGAUGAUUUAACCGACAUGCUCGACUUCGACUCUGAAGACAUCGACGGUAUGGACGACGAUGCAGGAGACAACCAAGAACCAGCGCCUACAGGGCACUGGACGGCCACCUUGUCAUACGACAUAUACAUGGUGGACACCCCAAAAGAUGGGAAUGGCAAUGGAACAGCGGAGGAUGACCCCUCCAAGAAACAGCCCAAGUGUCGGCGUCAGCGGCGCCGCUCUAAAUCCCGCCACAGCAAAAAUGGUGAUUCCGGCAUGGGAGAUAAUAACACCCCGGACAGUGCCGAAGACAACCCCCUCCAGUAGGAUUCAGCACAGGAGGUGGGAGAAGCCAGCCCUCAUGAUAGAGCGGCAGACAGAGAGGUAGAGGACGAUAAUUAUAUGCCUCCCUCCGAAGAUGAAGAAAGCCUCGACGACGACGAAUUUGUCGUGCCCGAGGAUCCCGUCGAACUGGAGCAUUUCAAGCGCAGGCUUAUGGCCAUGGCAAGCAGCCUUAAGAAAAAGCAGCAGCAACUUAGAGCUGACCAAGACUUGCUAGCUGAUAGAUGGACCGAAGUCCUUGCAGCCGAAGAGUACAAACUCGAUCGCCCCUCCAAGAGCUACCUAAAAUGCAGGCUGCUACCCCAAUCAGAGGAGGAAGCACCCAAACCUACAUCACCAGCGCAUGACGCGGCCGAUCGGCCACCUCGUGGCCACGACAGAGAGGCCUCCAGGCCUUCCACUAAAGACGCACCCCGGCGUCGCUCGAAAAGUACAAAGCCACAGGGAAAUGCGCCAGACUUGCGAGACAUAUUGGAGGACAAGGCAAGGCAAAUAAGAUCGAUCCAUGGAUCACGUGGGCGCCCCACGACACGUGAUGACAACCGUCACGCCGAAUACAGCAAUUCCGGCCGGGCCGAACACAGUAGACAAAGCUCAUUUGAACUGCGUCGUGACAUAGCCCAAUACAGAGGCGUCACACACCCACUAUGCUUCACAGACGAAGUAAUGGAUCAUCAAAUCCCCGAGGGUUUCAAACCCGUAAACAUUGAAUCAUACAACGGCACAACAGAUCAUGCGGUUUGGAUCAAGGACUAUCUCCUUCACAUCCACAUGGCCUGUGGCGAUGAUCUACACACCAUCAAAUACCUCCCACUCAAGCAGAAAGGACCAGCUCGGCAUUGGCUCAACAGCUUGCCAGCAGAAUCAAUUGGUUGUUGGGAAGACCUGGAAGCCGCAUUCCUUGAUAACUUCCAGGGCACAAAUGUGCGACCACCAGACGCUGAUGACCUAAGCCACAUAAUUCAGCAGCUAGAUGAAUCGGCCAGACAAUUCUGGACACGGUUCUUAACCAAGAAAAAUCAAAUCGUUGACUGUCCGGAUGCAGAGGCCCUUGCAGCCUUCAAACAUAACACCCGCGACGAGUGGCUUGCCCGGCACCUAGGACAGGAAAAGCCGAAAUCCAUGGCAGCCCUCACAUCACUCAUGACCCACUUCUCCGUGGGAGAGGACAGCUGCCUAGCUCGUAGUAACAACCUGACCAAAAACCCUGGUAGUUCGGAUACCAAGGACAGCAAUGGCAGGUCGCGUCGCAACAAGCACAAGCGACGCAUUAACAGUGAUAAUGCUGAAGAUACGACAGUCAAUGCCGGAUUCAGAGGCUCUAAACCCGGUCAGCGGAAAAAGCCGUUCAAAAGAAAUACUCAGGGCCCGUCCAAUUUGGACCGAAUACUCGAUCGCUCGUGCUAGAUACAUGGCACCCCCGAAAAACCAGCCAAUCACACCUACAGGGAUUGUUGGGUGUUCAAGCAGGCAGGCAAGUUAAAUGCCGCAAACAACGACAAGGGGCUGCAUAGCGAUGAGGAGGAGGAGCCCCGGCCGCCGAACAAUAAGGACAGAAGGGCUUUCCCCCACAAGUGCGGACGGUGAACAUGAUAUACGCAACCCACAUACCCAAAAGGGAGCAGAAGUGUGCACUAAGGGACGUAUAUGCGAUGGAGCCAGUCGCCCCAAAGUUCAACCUGUGGUCCUCCUGCCCGAUCACUUUUGAUCAAAGGGACCACCCCACUAGUGUCCGCCACGGCGGAUUCGCUGCAUUGGUUCUUGACCCAAUCAUUGACAGAUUUCACCUCACUAGAGUCCUGAUGGACGGCGGCAGCAGCCUGAACCUGCUUUACCAGGAUACAGUGCGCAAAAUGGGCAUAGACCCCUCAAGGAUUAAACCCACAAAAACGACCUUUAAAGGCGUCAUACCGGGUGUAGAGGCCAACUGUACAGGCUCAGUUACACUCGAAGUGGUCUUCGGAUCCCCGGAUAACUUCCAAAGCGAGGAAUUAAUCUUCGACAUAGUCCCGUUCCGCAGUGGCUGUCACGCACUGCUCGGACGAACCGCAUUUGCAAAGUUCAAUGCGGUGCCGCACUAUGCAUACCUCAAGCUCAAGAUGCCAUGCCCUCGAGGAGUAAUCACGGUCAAUGGAAACACCGAACGCUCUCUUUGAACGGAGGAGCAUAUGGCGGCCCUCGCGGCGGAAGUACAAAGUAGCCUCUUAAGGCAAUUCUCGAGUCCGACUACUAAACGUCCGGACACCGUCAAGCGCGCCCAGAGUAACCUACAACAAGACCACCUGGCACGUUCCGAGCAUGCGUAGCAAUGCAGCCCCAACCCCAGCCCUCGCGAAAUCGCGAGACUAGUACCACGCGUACAUAACUACGCUAUGGAGAUACCUUGGGCAUAGGGGGAGGGGCACGACCACGGCAUGCCCGGAGUGCGGCUCAACCGCACCGGGGGCUCCCAAUUGUGUCAUUCUUUUUUUCCUUAUUCUCAGGACUCCGUUUUCCAGAAGCCCUGUCCGGCAGUAGAAUCGCCGAACUCACGAUGCAACAGCCAGGGAAGCAGAAAAGCUACGUCGAGUGUCCAGGUGGUCUCUAUUUACGAGAAGUAUACCUGUUUUACAUACCAUCCCGCAGCCUACCCCUGGAGGGGGACAUGUUAAAUAGUCCCACCCCUUGCUUAUCGCACUAUUUGUAUCGUUCUGCUUUCAUAUCUUUUGAAUAAACAAUACAUAGCUUCUGCUUAUUAUUGCAUUCCUUUUUUUCCAUAAAUGUUCAUCUAUGACAUGUUGCACCCGUACAACUUGGUACGGUCAAUACACCAGGGGCUUAAGUACCCCAAAACAUGAUGUGAUAAGUCCGAACACUUUCACAAGUGCGGCACCCCAAACUUAUAGCAUUAUAUGCAUCUGCUCUGAAUCAUGUCUUGGGUCAAUAGUUGGGUUUGCCCGGCUCCCAUGUUUUGGUACCUUACGUUUCGUUAUAUCGGCUAAGGUAGCGUUGGGAGAACCACUGCGAUUGUGCCCCGGUUGAGCCGGGUUGAGCACCUCAGUGGAGAAAGCUAAAACUGACCGUCAUGAUAGGCGAGAGCCGAUCGCUGUACGAGAGGUUUUUCGGGUCCCUAAAGACUCAUGCCGCUUAGAGCGAGGAGUCGGCAUUGUCCGGCCAAGGCAUGGAUAGCGCCCCGAACUCGGUCUUCGGAAUACCAGGGGCUUCGCCGAAAUUUAAAAUUAUAGAAUUCUAUGGCUAAGUGAGAGUGUUCAAGCAUUAUAGUCCGGUUUCCUCGUUCGUCGUGUUGAACGCCUCCCUCGUAGAACAGAAGAAUGGGAACAAGAGCGCUCAAGUUUAUCCCGAACACCCCAGCACUCGUGGCAUGGGGGCUGAAGCCAACGACUCGCCAUCUCUCAAAUUUGAUAAACGGCCGCACAGAAUGAGAGUCUACUCAAAAAUUACCAAGAAUUGCUUAGCGCAUAUGAACAAAGUUUUCAGCGUACAGGAUAACAAAUGAGAGUCUACUCAAAAAUUACAUCUUUGGAACAUUCACCCGCUAUAAGGCGGGCACCCUUCAGGACGCCCUCAUAGUACAUCUCGGGCUUGCGAUACUCCUUUCCUGGCGGUGGUGCGUCUGCCACAAGCUUCUCGGCGUCCAUCUUGCCCGAGUGCACUUUAGCACGGGCAAGGGCCCGACGGGCACCUUCAAUGCAGACAGAACGCUUGACGACUUCAAUCCAUGGACAGGCGUCCACCAGCCGCCGCACCAGACCGAAGUAGCUCCCAGGCAUGGCUUCUUUAGGCCACAGCCGAACUAUGAGGCCAUUCAUGGCCUGUUCGGCAACCUUGUGGAGCUCGGCCAGCUGCUUCAGCUGGUCGCUCAGGGGCACCGGAUGUCCGGCCUCAACAUAUUGAGACCAGAACACCUUUUCCGUCGAGCUCCCCUCCUCGGCUCGGUAGAAUGCGGCAGCAUCAGACACACUAUGGGGCAGAUCUGCGAACGCUCCUGGAGAGCUCCGAAUUCGGGUAAGUAACAGAUAAUUCACUUUUACAUGCUUGCUUUGCAUGAAGAAUGCCUUACCUGCCGCUAUCUUUUUUAUCGCCUCAAUCUCCUGGAGGGCCUUCUGGGCUUCGCCUUAGCGGCUUUGGCACUCUCAAGAGCCAAGGCGAGCUCGGACUCUCGAGUCUUCGAGUCACGCUCCAAACUCUCGUGUUUUUUCCACAAGAGCCUGGAGCUCUUGCUGCACCUCCGCCACCCGCACCUCCUGCUUCUCUCGCUCGGUGCGCUCCGCGGCCACACUGUUUUCGGCCUUGGACACCACUUCCUUUAGGGUCGCCACCUCGUUCGUGGCCCCUGCAAUACUCACGUUAUUCCUGUCAUUUUUCAACCAAAUCCUUUCUAUAAGGUAUUACUUUAAUAAGGUAUUACUUACCUUCCUUGUCCUCGAGCUACUUCUUGGCAAGGCCGAGCUCAUUCUCGGACCGCUCAAGGCUCUCCUUCAAUGCAUUGACCUCCGCAGUCAGUGCGGCAGAGGUCAGCAGCGCAACCUGCACUCCCAAAUUGACAUAUUUAUGUUAGACUCCUGCGUAUAUCUUUUUAGAUCCUCAGCUCGGCUUUUCUUUCCGAACACCGAACUAAGCAUCAGGGGCUACUGUCUAUGCGGUAAUAUUCUUACAUAUCUUAAAAACUUACCUCAAAGCCUGUUAGAAGGCUGGUACAGGCUUCAGUCAGCCCGCUCUUGGCGGACUGAACUUUCUGGAUCACCGCACUCAUGAUAGUGCGGUGCUCCUCGUCGAUGGAGGCGCCGUUAAGCGCCUCUAGCAAGCUGUCUAGUGCCUCCGGUUGGACGGAGGCCACCGGCGUCGCAGUCUUGCCCUUCUUACGAAGGGGCUGCCUGCCGGACUUCAGAACCACUGUAGGUUCCGGUACGGAGUCCAGGCACAGGGCCGGAGUUAGAGCCCUCUGGGGUUUUGCCCCCUUUGCACCCGGAGUAUGGGAGGUCACCUUGUGGCGCCUCCAGGACCACCUCCUCCUGGUCUGGCCCCUUUUGGGACUCCACCGCGGCGUCAUCUGUGUCACGAGGGGAGGAGGCGGUCGGAAGUGAAGUGCUAUUCACAUCCGACGAAUCCAGGGAGCCGCUCGACGAAGCGGGGAGCUCGUCCUUGGGCAGGCUACAUGGUUGUAUUCGGCGUUAGAAGACACUAUGCGACAAAUGAAAAAUCAUGAGUUAUUCUGGAAUCCGGACACUUACGAUCUCACCAGGGGCUUGGCCCUCGAGGGCCACUCCUCUUCGCCAUCGUCGACGUUGGUGGAAAAGUCCGGAGGAAGGGUCCUUCCUUUCUUGGACCCCCCGGCCCCCCAGCUGGGGCAGCCUUCCUUUUCUUCUCUCUCCCCCGCUGGGGGAGAGGCCUCUUUUUCCUCCUCCUCGUCUUCGCGGGAGGAGUCGGCCUCGGAAUCAUCGGACGAUGAGUCCGACAACACCUGGCGCCGGGCACUCCUUCAAGUUCCCGUGGCCUUCUUCUUGGCCUUCUUCUCCGGCACCACGUGAGGUGCCGGAACCAGCAGCCCCAUCAAGCGGGCGUCCACUGGGUCUUCUGGGAAAGGAGCCGGACAGUUAACCUGCCCGGACGUCUUCAGCUAGUCCUGUCAAAGGUAAGGGAGUUUAGAUCCCACAUCGAGUCAGACUAUGAAAAACAAGAGUCUCGUAAAGGGUAGAAUAGCUUACCUCGCUGGCCUGACGCCGCGAGCUGAAUCCGCGAUCUUCGGUAGCGAAUGCGGGGGCCUCGGCGCCCUUAAACAGCACCUUCCAGGCAUCUUCGUACGUAGUGUCAAAGAGCUUGCUCAAGGUUUGGUGCUGUGCCGGAUCAAACUCCCACAAUUUGAAGGCCCGUUGUUGGCAUGGGAGGAUCCGGCGGAUGAGCAUGACCUGGACUACGUUGACAAGCUUGGGAUUCUUGUUCACCAGUUUUUGGACGCAGGCUUGAAGUCCGGUCAGCUCUUCUGAAUCUCCCCACGUUAGGCCCGUCUCUUUCCAGGAGGUGAGCCGUGUGGGGAAACCAGAUCGGAAUUCGGGGGCCGCCGCCCAUUUGGAGUUGCGCGGCUCGGUGAUGUAGAACCACCCCGAUUGCCACCCCUUUAUUGUCUCCACGAAGGAGCCCUCGAGCCAUAGGACGUUGGCCAUCCGGCCCACCAUGGCGCCUCCGCACUCCGCUUGGCGGCCGCCCACUACCUUCGGCUUGACAUUAAAAGUCUUCAGCCAUAAGCUGAAGUGGGGCUGGAUGCAGAGGAAGGCCUCGCACACGACGAUGAACGCCGAGAUGUUGAGGAUGAAGUUCGGGGCCAGAUCGUGGAAAUCUAGGCCAUAGUAGAACAUGAGCCCCCGGAAAAAUGGGUGAAGUGGAAAACCUAGUCCGCGGAGGAAGUGGGUGAGGAACACCACCCUCUCAUGGGGCCUGGGGGUGGGGAGGAGCUGCCCCUUAUCGGGGAGCCGAUGUGCGAUGUCGCUGGACAAGUAUCCGGCCUUCCGCAGCUUUUUGACUGGUUCCUCCGUUACGGAGGAGACCAUCCACUUGCCUCCCGCUCCGGACAUGGAUGGAGAAGGUUGAGGAGGGAUGUGCAGACUUGGGUGCUGGAGCUUGAGUGCGCGGAAAUGGAUGAGCAAAGGAGGAAGAAGGCGUAGGUGAAAAGGUGGAUCCUUAUCCCCUUAUAUGGACGGACGAAGCUAUGCAUCCCCCACCAGCCUGGUAAAACUCGCUUAUCUCCCAAGCGCUGUAAUCAAUGGCGCGGUUGGAUUACCCACGCCCGUAUUGAUGAGAAUCCCGGAAUAAGGGGGCACGAUCUCCGCUUUGAUAAGACGUGCCAAGGAAACCGCCUCGCUAAACAUGCUGAGGUGGGACAGUAAAAACAAUUCCAAUAAAGGCUUGGCCGUGGUGUGACGUCAUGCCGCAGAAUACGUCAGUAGAUUGAAUUUGUGUAAAGAUUAUUCUCUCUACGGUGGUAUGUGGAACUUAUUUUGCAGAGCCGGACACUAUCCUUGUGUUCAAAAUCUUCUAUGAAGUAUUUGGAGGAGGAACCCGCCUUGCAAUGCCGAAGACAAUAUGAGCACCGGACUCGUCGUCAUUGAAGCCUGGUUCAGGGGCUACUGAGGGAGUCCUGGAUUAGGGGGUGUCCAGAUAGCCGAACUAUCACCGUUGGCCGGACUCCCGGACUAUGAAGAUACAAGAUUGAAGACUUCGUCCCGUGUCCGGAUGGGACUUUCCUUGGCAUGGAAGGCAAGCUUGGCGAUACGGAUAUCUAGAUCUCCUACCAUCAUAACCGACUCUGUGUAACCUUAACCUUCUCCGGUGUCUAUAUAAACCAGAGGGUUUUAGUCCGUAGGACGAACAACAAUCAUACCAUAGGCUAGCUUCUAGGGUUUAGCCUCUUUGAUCUCGUGGUAGAUCUACUCUUGUACUACCCAUAUCAUCAAUAUCAAUCAAGCAAGCGUAGGGUUUUACCUCCAUCGAGAGGGCCCGAACCUGGGUAAAAACAUCGUGUCCCUUGUCUCCUGUUACCAUCCGCCUAGAUGCACAGUUCGGGACCCCCUACCCGAGAUCCGCCGGUUUUGACACCGACAGCGGGUCUCACUCGUCAACCGCUCAAUUCUUCUGACUUGGAUUAUCAGGAAACUUUCUCUUCCUCCAGCGACUCAAUGCAGUCCAAUCUGCCGGCUUUCAAGACCGCACCAGGGUAAUGAUAACCUACUUAUCCUGUAUUCAUUUCAAUCCAUUGCAUCUGUACUAACCUUUUGAUUUGAUGCAGUGGACAAGCCAAACCCAGCAAACGGGUUAAAAAGAACAAGCCGGCUGAAGACACGGUUGUGACCGAGCUAGUACUUGGAACAACUGCGCCAGAAUCGUCAACUCAUGAGCCGCCAUCUAAACCAUCUCAAGAUAUACCAACUCCAACUGCUGACCCGCCUGCUGAGCGAGCCGUUGAUGGCUCAGAAAACCCGGAUGCCCCUAGCCCGGUCAGGACGGAUGAUCCUCAAGACACUGAUGUUCCGCCAAGUGUUCCGCCAAGGAGGAGCUUCUGGAACACCGCCGGGUCAAGCUUGACAUCGCGGACUAUACUCACAUGAGUAUGGGAGAAGUCUUUUCUGGCUACAUGAGCCAAGUGCACAGCAGUCGUAACGUCGAGAUUGACAUGGUGAAGCAGAUGCACCAAAAAUUUGAGGUACAACCCUUUCUCUGUAUUCAUUUAUCUUUACUAUGCCAGCCCCCAAGUCUAUUGCUUAUGAUGAAUAUGUUGUAGACUUAGAAGCAAAUUUAGUGACAUUAGUAACAUAGAUGGAUAAAAUAUGCAAGAAGUCCGGCUUACUCCGUAGUCCCCAAGGGGUGGCUUAACCAGCAUGGUUGAACCGGUCCUUCAUAUGGUUGUAUAAAAUAAAAUACUGACAAAGCUUUGAACAGCAAUAUGCAUUAGCCCCCAAGUGCCAAGUACUAUUGCUUGCAAAGUGCUUGGGACUUACUGUCAUGAACCUCCACCUUAAGUAAAAUUCUUCGGUAGACAUUAGUCCCCAAGUGCCAAGUGUUGUUGCUUGCAAAAAGGCUUGGGACUUAAUAUUGCAUCAGGAUUGUCCUAAUUUUGACCCUAUAUUUGUAUAGGCCGCCAUGAGUCAACUUGAAUCAGAAGUGACUGAUCUGAAGAACCGCCUUGAGGCCCAAGAGAUGGAAACCCAAAGUGUCGACUCCAAGUUUAAAUUCCGCAUUUUUGAACAAGAAAAACUGAAGAAAGAAUUUGAAAUGGAGAAAAAGGCCUAGGCUGGUGAAAAAAUUGCAUUGAUUAAUCGAGCUGAGAAGGUAGAGGAGGCUCUUGAAGAAGCAACCGGUGAAUUAACCGGCUUAAAACGCCAUGUCUCUCAGAUGGUCUCAGCAAUCUUUGUAAGUCGCCCUGCAAGUGUUAAAUACUUGAACCUUUUAACUGAUCAUAUAAUUGGAAUUGACUCACCUGACCAUGUUUAUGCAGGCCCCAGGAGUUCAAAUCUGAACCAAGAUAUGUUGAUCAAGCUGAAGGCGUUUUAUACACUGGUGGAGCAACUGUACACCGGGUUUCAGCGUGCCUUAGCCACGGUGGCUUUGUCAAAUGAAGUGCCUACCCUCCUGGCAAAGGUAUUAAAGAAGCUUUCCGUACUACCCCAACGGUUCAAUGAACUAAGGCGGUCAGCUACAAGAGUCGGAGCAGUGAAUGCUUUAAGCCGGGCCAAAGCUUGGCUACCAAAGUUAGACCCGGCCGACAUUGCCAUUGGCUAUCCAAGCUUGAAGGAGGAUGGUACUUCCUUUGAACAGGAAGACUUUACCGCUUGUGUGAAGGAGGUACGCCCCAUGGCCACCGUGAUAGCUGACGAAGUGGAUCUUACCAAGUACCAGGCGGGUUAUGACGCAGAGAACCGGAGAAUUCCAACGCCUCACUAUAAAGUGACCAGUCUGAUCCGCCCACUCUGUAAGCACACCUUCGCCCCUGAAGUUGACCCGGCCGGACUAGUUGAUGAUGAAGCUGACUUUGAAGCUUUGAACAACAUUGACUGGUCAUCGUCAACCUUCUAGGAAAGGGAAUAGGGCGAAGAAGCGGAGAGGGCUAACCCGGACGCUUCAGGCCAACAUGAGAGAUAAUCUGCCAUGGCGGCUCAUACCUGUGAUGUGAUAAAACACAAUAUGAAUCAUUUGGACUCGGGGAGUCAUGUAAUAGAAUAGAAAUAACUUUGCUUUUGCCGGGCCAUCGUGCACGUUUUUGGUGCUUGAUACUAUUAAGCCGCCAUAUUAGCUUCACCCAGUUUACACUUAUCAUAUUUUUUUCUUUAUGCUUGAUCAAGUCUUUUAACUGCCCUGCACAUAGAAAUAGAUGACAAGGUCCCUUGGUGGCUUACCGCAAGGCGGGUCAUAAUAGCUUGAUACAUUUAAAAUAAAAGAAGAAUCACAGAUAGGCCUGUUGUAACAUAUAAUGUUGAAACACAACUAUAAUCUUCUACCUGUGACCUUUUUGAAUUUCCACUUCCGGCUUAUAUGACCCGGACAGUAAGGGUGAUAACCCAAUCUUAGGAAACCAAUAUUUCCAAAUUAUAAUGAUUCUCAUAUAUUGGCGACUUAUCAGCCAAUAUCAACCUGGGUUAAAUUAACCACACUUGUACUUGUAAAACUCAAAAAAUUCUCAAGUCAAAUAAAGAGUGCUUUCCAAAGAAAACUUAAACCAAGUAGAAUAUAUAAAAAAUUCAAGGCUUCUGAUUCGAAUACGAUCAGUAAACCGUUCCAAAGGGGUUAAGCUAGGUACGAUCAUGUAGCCCCCAGUGGCCUUGGCGUUGCGGCGAUCAAGAGGGUACCGACAUUUAUGUUCUCUUUGGUUCGAAUACGACCUAUGUUCAAAUAGGAAGCCCCCUAAUGACCUUGAGAGUUUUUUAACGACUCUGAUUCGAAUACGAUCAAAGUCGGUUCCCAAAAGGGGUUAAGCCAUGAUUCGAAUACGAUCAAGAAGCCCCCUAAUGAGCUCGGCAGUGUGCGAAUCAAAAGGGUACCGACAGCUAUGUUCUCUUUGCACUACUAGGAAAAGGGCUAUAGAUGGAAAUGACACUAAUGGCGCACCAGACAAGUGGUGCGCCAUUAGUAUAUACUAAUGGCGCACCACCCUCUGAUGCGCCAUUAGUGUUGAAACUACUAAUGGCGCACCCUGACCACGGUGCGCCAUUAGUACCAAAUUUUUUUUUUGAACUAGUGCGCCUGUCCAAACAUACUAAUGGCGCAUCCCCUGGUGGUGCGCCAUUACUAGUUGUAACUAGUAAUGGCGCACCAUCCAGGAGGUGCGCCACUAAUGUUAUUUUUUUAUUAUUGCUUUUAUUCCUUUUUUUGCAAAAGUUCUAAUGGCGCACCGCCAGGGGGUGCGCCAUUAGUAACCUGGAUUACUAAUGGCGCAUUUGUUGCUGGUGCGCCAUUAGUAAGUGGGCAGCAACAAGAUAUUUUGGACAGCCUCUCCUCCCACACUCACUUUCUCCCCACUUCAUUCUCUCCACCGCCUCCUCCUUGUCUCGGGUGCCUCCUCUUUUUCACCUCAUUUCCACCAUAGAUUCAUUCAAAUUAAGUGGUUAAGUUACCUUGUUUUGCUAGGUAAGUAAGGGGGGAAGCUAUAUUUAUGUUGUUCUCCCUACAAACAAUGUGCACAUGCACUUUUUAUGGCCUAGCUAGAUCUAUGUAUGUUCGUGGUGUUGCAUAUGUUUGUGGUGUUGCAUAUGUGUUUGUGUUUGGAGGUGUACCGGUAUUUGAAAUGCGAUAGUUGCCAAUAUUUUGCCGGAAUGUUGAUUCAUUUCCGUUUCGGCGAGAAUUUUGGCAUUAAGCAUUCUUUUUGGUCCUAUUUUUAGGGAAAGUCAUGCCAAAUUUUUCUUGGUUCUAAAAUAUCGUUUUGCUCUACCCCGCAGACGACCAUGGUCCGCACGAUGACCGAAGGCAUCGUGAAUAGGUUUUUGAGGUCCGCGAAGGCCGAGAUGCUUCAAAAGAACGAGACGGAGAUAAGAUGUCCGUGUCGAAGAUGCAAGCUGAAUAGCCUUAUUGCGGACCCGGAUUCCGGGCAGGUGCGGGACCACCUGCUCUUGCGUGGUUUCAUGGAUGGCUAUCGGUGGCAAGGUGAUGAUGAUGACUACGAAGUCGUUCAUGGGGGUCGGGCAAGAAAUGAGGAAGGGCAGCAAGACAACCACCGCGGCUCGGGGGGGCGAGAAGACGAAGAAUCCCCAGGAGAUGAUCACGACGGUGAUGCUGUACACAGUCAUCAUGUAGAAGAUGCAGGACGUGAUGAUGAUGCUGGCGGAGCAGACGACGUUGGACCAUCGAUGGGCUGGGUGCAGGACCCUCAUAUUCAAGAGCUGCUUCUCAAGCAGACGGAUAACGCAAGAGCUGCCGCCCGAGAGAAAGCAAAGAUGGAUCAACUUGAGUUAGACGCGGUUACUCCAUUGUAUGAAGGAUGCAGGCCCGAGGAUACCCGCCUGAAAGUAACGCUCAUGGCUCUGGAGAUGAAGGUAAAACACAAAAUGACCGACGCAUGCUUCGACGAGAACAUGUCAUUCUGGCACGAACGUCUUCCCAAGGGGAACAAGUGCCCGACCAGUUUGGAGGAGGCAAAGAAAAUCGUGUGUCCUCUGGAUUUACCGCACGUGAAAUACCAUGUGUGCAUGAACAAUUGCAUCAUUUAUCGGGACGAGCACGCGGAGUCUACAAUAUGUCCGGUGUGCGGUGUCACUCGAUACAAGAAGAGGAAGAAAGCUCCUCGAAAAGUGGUGUGGUACUUUCCGAUCACUCCUCGUCUGCAGCGGUAUUUCGCGGAUCCUAAGGUAGCAAAGCUCCUGCGUUGGCACGCGGAUAGGGAGGAGAAGAAGCGAGAAGAUGACGCAAAUGAUCCGGAGAUAGAUAAAAAAGACAAGAUGCUGAGUCACCCUAAGGAUGCGAGCCAGUGGCAAGCAUUGAACUUCGAAUACCCAAAAUUUGGGAAAGAUCCAAGGAACAUCGUGCUGGGCGCGAGCACCGAUGGAGUCAAUCCGUUUGGCAGCCAGAGAAGCACACAUAGCACCUGGCCUGUGUUUGUGUGGAUGUACAACCUUCCCCCCUGGUUGUGCAUGAAGAGGAAGUACAUUCACAUGAGUAUGCUAAUUGAAGGGCCGAAACAACCAGGGAACGACAUCAAUCUGUAUCUAGGGCUGCUGAAAGAGGAGCUUGACACGCUGUGGAAAACGCCAGCCAAUACGUGGGACGCCGCAGAGAAAGAAUAUUUCCCUAUGAGAGCCGCAGUGCUCACGAUGGUGCAUGACUAUCUCGGUUACGGAUAUCUUGCGGGGCAGGUAGUCCACGGAUUUUCUGGAUGCGUAAGGUGCAUGGAUGACACAACGUAUCGCCAGCUAGAUAGAGAUCCCGGGUCUUUGAAAACCGUGUUCAUGGGACAUCGAAGGUGGCUUCGCGACGAUGACCCGUGGAGGAAACGCAAGGAUCUGUUCGAUGGUGAAACCGAACCCCGAAAACGCCCGUGUACGAGGAGCGGCGAGGAAAUAGACAAGCUGUUGAAAAAUUGGAAAGACUGCCCACUGCCGGGAAAGAAGCAAAAGGCGCCAGAGCCGGGAAAGAAGCGAAAGGCGCCAGAGCCGCUGCUGAAGGUAUGGAAAACAAGGUCUGUUUUCUGGGACUUGCCGUACUGAAAGAUCCACCGUGUGCCUCACAGCCUUGAUGUCAUGCAUAUCACGAAGAACGUGUGCGAGAGUCUGCUUGGUACCCUGCUCAACAUGCCAGAGAGGACCAAAGAUGGGCCGAAAGCAAGGGCAGACUUGAAAUCAAUGGGCAUCAGGGAGGAGCUUCACGCUAUAUAUGAUGAUGAUGAUGAUGAUGAUGAGGCGAAGCAGGACACAAAAAGUCGUCGCAAAGGCAAAAAGGCCAAGAAGACCGGAAAUGACUACCCUCCCGCGUGCUUCACUCUAAGUCAGGAGGAGAUCGAGCAGUUUUUCACCUGCCUCCUAGGAGUAAAACUUCCUUACGGUUACGCGGGGAAGAUAAGCAGAUACCUAGACCCAGCGAAGCAGAAGUUCAGCGGGAUGAAGUCUCACGACUGUCACGUGCUGAUGACGCAGAUACUUCUAGUUGCAAUCCGUGGGAUCAUGGACGCGCACGUCCGUGAAACGCUAUUUGGCCUAUGCAACUUCUUCGACGUCAUCUCUCGGAAGUCGAUUGGCGUGAGGCAACUCAGAAGGCUACAGGAAGAGAUCGUGGUGAUACUAUGCGAGCUUGAGAUGUACUUCCCGCCCGCAUUCUUCGACGUUAUGGUGCAUCUGCUGGUCCAUAUAGUGGAGGAUAUCAUCCAACUCGGGCCGACGUUCCUGCACAGCAUGAUGCCGUUCGAAAGGAUGAAUGGUGUCAUCAAAGGAUACGUUCGCAACAUGUCACGUCCAGAAGGAAGCAUAGCCAGGGGCUUUCUGACCGAAGAGUGCAUCUCCUACUUCACGAAUUAUCUAGGCAUCGAGAACCCCGUUGGUCUGCCCGUCAACAGGCACCUCGGCAGGCUCGCUGGAUGGGGUCACCGUGAGGGUCGCCGCGAAAUGCAUGUCGACUUCGAGGGUCGACUCGCCGACUUUGAAAGAGCAAACCUAGUCGCGCUACAACACAUAGACGUGGUCGAUCCUUGGGUGGUAGAGCACAAAACCUUUAUUAAAAAGACGUACAAUGACCGAGGCCAACAGAGGACGGACGGAGAUACACUCAAAGAGCACAACUCAUGUUUCACGCGUUGGUUCAAGCAUAAGCUUCUGUCGUACCCUUUACAUGAGGAUUCUUCCGCGGAAGAACAACUCAUAUUCGCCUUGUCACAGGGCGCCGAGCACAACCUGAUGACCUAUGAGGCGUACGAUAUCAACGGCUACACAUUCUACACCGAGGCCAAGGACAUGAAGAGCGAUGGUUAUCAGAACUCCGGGGUAACAAUGGAAUCCUACACCGGUAACGACAAGGACAGAUACUACGGAAGGAUCGAGGAGAUCUGGGAGCUGAGCUACGCUGGAGAGAAGGUCCCGAUGUUCCGUGUCAGAUGGGCCAAAAACGUCAUAAAAGAAGACCGGUAUUUCACCACCAUGGUUAUACCCGAAGCCAAAUCCAAGACCGCGGGCGCAAACGUCACCGCGAAAAAUGAGCCAUGGGUACUGGCUUCCCAAGUGGACCAAUGCUUCUUCAUUACCGACCCGCCAAAGCCCAGUCGUGUUGUCGUGAGGAGAGGCAAAAGGAAGAUCAUCGGAAUGGAUGGAGUAGCCAAUGAGAAAGACUUCGACAAGUACGGCGACCCGAGGAUCGAACAUGACGACGAUGAUGAAGUAGCAGCAUACACCACAAGAAGAAGCAGGACCACCCUACCUAAAGGACGUCCCUUCCACAGAAGAACUCCAUUUGCGAAAAAGAAGGGCAAGAAGAUUGUGAACAGAUAGCUAGCUAAGAUCGAUUGUAUUUAAAUCGUAGCCUUCAUUUCUCGAUUGUAUUUCAUGGGUACUUUUUGAACUAUCAUGAAUAUUUUUAAAUUUCAUGGACACUCGAUCUCGAUCCCCCUCCAUCUCGAUCGCUAUCCCACCUCGCCAGAUCCGGCCCCCCUCGCCGCCGAGCACCCCCCCAGUCCACCGGCCGCCGCCNNNNNNNNNNNNNNNNNNNNNNNNNNNNNNNNNNNNNNNNNNNNNNNNNNNNNNNNNNNNNNNNNNNNNNNNNNNNNNNNNNNNNNNNNNNNNNNNNNNNNNNNNNNNNNNNNNNNNNNNNNNNNNNNNNNNNNNNNNNNNNNNNNNNNNNNNNNNNNNNNNNNNNNNNNNNNNNNNNNNNNNNNNNNNNNNNNNNNNNNNNNNNNNNNNNNNNNNNNNNNNNNNNNNNNNNNNNNNNNNNNNNNNNNNNNNNNNNNNNNNNNNNNNNNNNNNNNNNNNNNNNNNNNNNNNNNNNNNNNNNNNNNNNNNNNNNNNNNNNNNNNNNNNNNNNNNNNNNNNNNNNNNNNNNNNNNNNNNNNNNNNNNNNNNNNNNNNNNNNNNNNNNNNNNNNNNNNNNNNNNNNNNNNNNNNNNNNNNNNNNNNNNNNNNNNNNNNNNNNNNNNNNNNNNNNNNNNNNNNNNNNNNNNNNNNNNNNNNNNNNNNNNNNNNNNNNNNNNNNNNNNNNNNNNNNNNNNNNNNNNNNNNNNNNNNNNNNNNNNNNNNNNNNNNNNNNNNNNNNNNNNNNNNNNNNNNNNNNNNNNNNNNNNNNNNNNNNNNNNNNNNNNNNNNNNNNNNNNNNNNNNNNNNNNNNNNNNNNNNNNNNNNNNNNNNNNNNNNNNNNNNNNNNNNNNNNNNNNNNNNNNNNNNNNNNNNNNNNNNNNNNNNNNNNNNNNNNNNNNNNNNNNNNNNNNNNNNNNNNNNNNNNNNNNNNNNNNNNNNNNNNNNNNNNNNNNNNNNNNNNNNNNNNNNNNNNNNNNNNNNNNNNNNNNNNNNNNNNNNNNNNNNNNNNNNNNNNNNNNNNNNNNNNNNNNNNNNNNNNNNNNNNNNNNNNNNNNNNNNNNNNNNNNNNNNNNNNNNNNNNNNNNNNNNNNNNNNNNNNNNNNNNNNNNNNNNNNNNNNNNNNNNNNNNNNNNNNNNNNNNNNNNNNNNNNNNNNNNNNNNNNNNNNNNNNNNNNNNNNNNNNNNNNNNNNNNNNNNNNNNNNNNNNNNNNNNNNNNNNNNNNNNNNNNNNNNNNNNNNNNNNNNNNNNNNNNNNNNNNNNNNNNNNNNNNNNNNNNNNNNNNNNNNNNNNNNNNNNNNNNNNNNNNNNNNNNNNNNNNNNNNNNNNNNNNNNNNNNNNNNNNNNNNNNNNNNNNNNNNNNNNNNNNNNNNNNNNNNNNNNNNNNNNNNNNNNNNNNNNNNNNNNNNNNNNNNNNNNNNNNNNNNNNNNNNNNNNNNNNNNNNNNNNNNNNNNNNNNNNNNNNNNNNNNNNNNNNNNNNNNNNNNNNNNNNNNNNNNNNNNNNNNNNNNNNNNNNNNNNNNNNNNNNNNNNNNNNNNNNNNNNNNNNNNNNNNNNNNNNNNNNNNNNNNNNNNNNNNNNNNNNNNNNNNNNNNNNNNNNNNNNNNNNNNNNNNNNNNNNNNNNNNNNCCCGCCGCCCCGACGCCGCCUCGACCCCGCCCCGACGCCGCUGCCCCACCUCGACCCCGCCCCGUCCACACCACCGUCGACCCGCCUCCCUCGACGCCACGGCGCAGCAGGACCUAGACUAGACGCCCAAGGUACGACCACCUCCUCCUUACUUCUCCAUUCCGCAAGUCCAUAGCCUCCUCUCACGUGCUUGCUUCCUUCUCCAUUCCACUGAUUCUGGUCAGUGUGUGUAUGCUUACUGAUGGCAAAUAACAAAGUUGAAUCAUAUUAGUUUUAGAUUCGUUGAAAUAUUAAGUCCUUAGUUGAAAGGUUGCAAUGAGCAGUUUGCAUUGUCCAUUUGUGCCAUUUUCUGCUUCUAAUUUUGUUGGUUCUUCUAGCAAGCAUAUUCCAUUGCUCCUGAUUGAAUUCCCUUACCAUUUUGUCUAUAUGUGGUUCUUUACUUCGGUGAUGUAAUCAUUUUAAAGUUUGACCUAGAUACUAUAAUUAAUAAACAGUUGUGAAUAGUAUAUAUCGAGAGGACUCCACUAUGCAACGUUUGACAUGCUCAUCACAUACUGUUAUUUAUAGUGAACCUUCUUUACUUGUAUUUACAGGGAAACAAUUGGUACAAUUCUUGCCCGGGGCCACAGCCGUGUACCUGUGUAUUCAGGAAACCCUAGAAAUGUUAUAGGUCUCCUGUUGGUAGGUAAAAAUUAUGCCAUGGAGAAUUACUCGAUGAUCUUUCUUUAUGUACUUUACUAACUUAGAACCAUUUAAAUAUUAUUUAGGUCAAAAGUCUUCUGACAGUUCGUGCUGAAAUAGAGACGCCAGUUAGUGCUGUUUCCAUUAGGAGGAUUCCAAGGUAUAUACCCCAAUUCUAUUUAAAUAUAAAUUGGAAAAAUCUCUUUCAAAAUUUGGUACAAUUGCUUGAAUUUUUGGAGUACACGAAUUAUGGGCUAGUGAUGAUCAUAUGCACUAGUUACUAGUAGAUGCUUCUCGACCCAAUUUGAGCAGCAGAGCACUAGCACCAAGCUCUGGGUUUUGUUCGGUACACUCUGAGAUGUAGAUGCCUAAAAGAUAAACAUGUUGUUUGUCUACAAAAAAAACUUAAUUACUAUUAUGGGCUAGUGAUGAUCAUAUGCACUAGUUACUAGUAGAUGCUUUUUUAUCCUCAGAUUGGCGUCUAGUGUUCAUAGAAAUAUAUGAUUAUCUUUGUUGUAUAAACUGACUGGCUGCCAAGUUACAACUUACUGGUGAAAGUUCAUUUUUUUAUCAGUGGCAUAUGAGUGGCAGAAAAGUGGCUAGCCUCGUCUGCAUAUAUGAGCAUAUAGAUCAACAAAAAAUAAACCCAUUCGGCAAGAACAUUUAUGCACCUAUUUACUAGAAGAAUGAAUAAAUGAAUGUCAGGGCUAGAGAUCAUUACUGUUUGUUAUCCAGGAAAUACAAAAGUUUGGAUUGUUGAAUGCAUUCUGAAUUCUAGCUAUACAAAAGUUUUUUCCUUCUGAAAUGUGUUUUUCUUCUUCUUCCUGUUUUGAGUAGUUUGCGUAAGUUUUCUGAAAUGAUGAUGUAUUUUUCUUAAUUCAGCGAACCGUGAGAUGGACUUAGAAGAAGAAACUGUCUCCUGAUUGCAGUUGAUUAAUUAGUAUAUAUGUUGUAGACUUGUAGCAUACCUACCUCUAUAUGGUUUUAUAUUUCAACUUGAUUUCUGAAUAUUCCAAACCACACGCGAAGUCCUUACUUACAAGAAGAAGUUUCUCUUCAUAACAGUGAACAAAACUACUGUCAAUCAGCUCAGUUCUAGUGCUGUUGGAUUUUUUUUAAUUGGCUUCUUGCAGUUUUGAAAAUUCAGUUUAUUCGGUUACUGAAAAUUCAGUUAAUUCAGUUAGGCACACAAAUUUCAGAACUUUUGUGUGCCCUAGUACUUGGUGUUUGUAGAAAACCAGGAGUGUCAAUGGGACUAGAAUUCACUUGUUCUUAUAUGGGUUUGUAAAACUUGUUCAUGUAUUGAACUACUAAUGCCUUGUGAUGCUCUGAAUUACUUGUGAUGCCUCUGAAUUACUUGUGAUCACAUUGAGAAAGACUUGUAAAGAUGAUGAUCAUCUUUAACAGAAAACAAUUUGUGAUGAUUUUGCUAGUUUGCUGGGUUUUGUCUCCGACCAUCGUGUCGUGAUGAUUUUGCAGGUACCCCGAGAGGCCCUUGAGUUUGCCGGAAUGUCGAUUAACUUUCGUUCAUGCAAAUUCGGGUACUCCAUAUGUCCUAUUUUCAGCAAAGGUCAUGCUGAAAUUUUCCGUGAAUUUUAGCAUGACUUUGCUAAAAAUAGGACAUAUGGGGUACUUGUGACUAAUGCAUACGCCGGGGUAUCUUAGUAGUUAAUAAAGUAGGAUCAAGUGCCCCGGCGUACUUGUGACUAAUGCAUGGCUUUUAGGGUGCCUCGGUGUCGAUAAAAACCGAAAUGAUGAAAAGUUAGGCUUUUAGGGUGCCUUGGCGUCGAAAAACCCUCAAUGAUAAAAGCUUAGAUUUUAGGAUGCCUCGGUGUCGACAAACCCUAAAUGAUGAGACCAUGAUCUUGUUCCUUGACAAUAACCAACUUUUUGACCAAACUUUGUUUCUAUUUAGAGAGAAACAUGGCCCACAACGAUGAGGCCGGGGGUUCGGGCGGCAAGGCAUUCUGGGAGCUGUCCCAGGAGAUGGAGGAACAACCUCACUUGUAUGAGGCCGCCGCCUUCCCCACCGAUCCUGAGACCACGGAUGGUGCCGCCGAGGAUGACCACACUGAUGCCACCACUGAUGGUGCCGCCGAGGAUGCCACCACUGAUGAUGGCGGCGCACGCACAGAUAGCAGCCAGCCGAAGAGGCAAUGGAAGGACCGGCGCCCGAUCGUGCUCCACACCCUCAAGGAGGAAGUUACUGAAGUGGACUCCAACGGGAAUCCAACGGCGCCCGAACGAAUAGUCAAGGGGUACUUGCUUCAGCUCGGGUGCAUUGUCCGGAGCACCGUCUCGAUCAACACCGAGAACCUGAGGCAUCCUGACCGAGGGAAUUUGCGCCACCUCCUCUUCACGAAGCUGCACGAACGAUACAAGUUCCCCGCUGAAUUCGAAAACACAAGCCUCAAAGGGAAUAAAGUGAACAAUGCUGCCCUCACGAAGAUGAGCAAGGCCCUGUCUACUUGGAAAAGCAAUGUGAAGAGAAUGAUCGAGAAAGGUGAGAGUUAUGAGAAGAUCAAGGAGAAAAAUCCUUCGAUCACCGAAGAUGACUACAACGACUUCAAGAUCAAUUGCUCGAGCACCGCAAGCUCCCAAUCAAGUGAGUGGGGGAAACAAAUGCGGGAGCUGAACAUAGGGGAACACACACUCGGUCCCGGCGGUUACAGAGUGGCGGAGCCUAUAUGGGACAAGGAGGAGGCGGACCGUGCCGAGCAAGGCCUACCACCCCUCUUCGAUAAAUACGGUGACAAGCAGACCAGGAACUUUGUCAGGGCCCGGUACAAGAAGGACCCGAAAACAAAGGAGCUUACCACGGAUCCGAAGACCAGGCGGCUUGAGCUUGUUCUGGUAAGGAAUACACCCCCGCGUAAUUAGCUCCAUAUGGUUGCAUUCUAAUUAAUGAAGCCGAAUUUCUAAAUGGUUCACAUUCCUUCCGCAGGCGACUGAAAGCAGUAGCGCGGGGUCGACUAAGAGCAACCCUUGGGACACCACUCUAAAUAGGGGGUUGAAUAUAAUGAAGAACAAGGAUAAGCUCAGUAAGCCGACGUCAGCUGGUCGUGUGGCCGGCAAAGGCUUGUCGACAAAAUGGGGGUCAUACUAUACCGCUGGUGUGCGGAAGGAGAAAAAGACCAGCUCGGAAAGCCAGGCGCGAGAGGUUCAAGAACUCAAGGCACAGGUGGCGCGGAUUCCGGAGAUUGUACAAGAGCAAGUGGAACAACGACUCGGAGCGACGAUCACCGCCCUUGUGCCUACCUUGAUCUCGGGGUUGAGUGCGUGUAUUGCGGGCGGCCAACAGGGGCCGCCCCCGAUUCCUAGCUUCACGGCCAGCAACUCGCAUAAUGCGAUGGCGGGGCCAUUGGUGCCUCCGGCGGAGGCGGCAUUGGUGUCUCCGACGCCGGCACGGGAGCUUAAUGCACCCGGGUGUACGCCGGCUGGCACCUCUUCAGCAAGCGGCCGCUCCGUCAACUGCACGCCCGCCGUUGGCGGUGCCUCGACAUUAGCCGAGCUCGACGCCAUCAUCACGGUAACUAAUUAAGCCUCUCUCGGCCGAGGACUUCAUCUCCUUGCCUUUGACUGGGCAUCCCUGACGCCCUACAUGUUUUCGCAGGGUGCCGCCGACGUUCCGUGCACUCUCCUCCACUUCGUGAACAACGAGUUGGUCGAUGUCGCCAAGGGCAAAAUCGUUCAACCGAGCAACCCCUUGUUCCACGGUACCUAGAUGCCACCCAACUUGUUUAGGGUUCAACUGGUUCGGGUGCUGCCAGGCUGCGACGACUUGUUACCUCCGAUUCGACCCGUCGGGGCCGACGAUGAUGACGUGAUGACCCUCAGCGCCUGCCUGAGCUGGCCCCUGCUUUGGCCGAAGAGCUAGAUUCGUUUGGGGGCGGGGGACACCACCCCAAAGACAACACCGCCAGUCGUGCCGGCGCCAAGUCGGCCCCAUGGCAAGACCGCCGUAACGGUGCCGGACAUCCCUAUGCCACUGGAUCCAAACAUGCAUAUGGCACAGGAUCAGAACGACGACGACGACGACGAUGAUACAUUUGGCAACGUCGAUCAGUACUUUGCCGAGCAUGGGUACGAUGGCGACUUCAUGGGGCCUCCUUCUCAAGAACCAAACCCAACAAAAGACGUGUGCGAUCUAGCUCGUACCGCGGAGAAGCCAAGUUGCAACAGGCGCCGUCUGGCGUUCAGCUCUCAGGAGACGCCUCCAGCUGCCGACUUCACCGAGCCUCAGAUAGGCGAGGUGCGAAAUAUUAUGAGCCCCAACACACUCAAGAAGGCGGUCUGUGAGCAGAACUCGGUCCCAUUACAGGAGAAGAAGAAGGCACGCAAAAGAAAGACUAAGAAGGGUGCGAGCCAGCCGGCACCGGGUACGAUCCGUGCUCAGGACGGGCCACCUUCACCGCAGGAUAUCUCGAGGAGGGUGCAUGUGGCGGGUAGGGCGAUGCUACCGACAAAUAUGCUCAAUGCUGCAACCGGUGCUAUGCGGAGUCUGCAUGACAGUGUUCUUGCUUUGGAGAAGCGGCGUCUCAGGGAGAAGGAUGUGGCAUACCCGGUUUUCGCGGCCAAGGUGCCAGAGGGCAAGGGCUUUGUGGAUAACUCCAUCGGGCGUACGAUCGUCCUGUGUUUUGAUGACAUCCACGCUAUGUUGAACCUUCAUCCGCUGCACUACACCUUCGUUCGGCUAUUUUCGCUGAGUAUGGAGAUGCGGAUCAUUCGCGACAAGACCCCGGACAUCGUGAUAGUCGACCCCUUCUACAUGCGUGCCAAGAUCUUGGGCAGCGCUGGGGACCGGCAAGUCGCGAGUUCUUACCUCGAAGGCGUCAUUCUGGCAAACCAAGAUUAGGAUAACUUCCUUGUGCCUUACUUUCCCGAGUAAGUCCUCCCCUCAACCGGCCCGUAACAUAUGAAUUCUUACUUUUCGAUCGUUUUUCUUUUAACAUUCCGUGUUUUCUGCAGUGACACACGUUGCACGCUCAUCCUCCUAAGCCCCAAAUAUUCCAUGGCCACGUAUUUCGACCCGGACCGUCAGUCGAACGUAGACUACACAAAUGUCAAGAAGGUUCUUGAUGAUGUUCUCCCCGGCUACGCCCAAUCUGGAGGCACCUUCACCAGGCCUAUUCGUAAGUACGGGAAGCACGUGUUCUCCCACAAUACGACGUUCUGCUGCGUCAAGCAGCCGCCUGGCGGUCAGAAGGGUGCCUACUACGCCAUCCAUCACAUGCGGGCGAUCGUACGGGACCAUCAUCAACUUCUGCUACCGAGUAAACUCAAAGAUUGGGCCGCGAGCGUGUCGGCAAUCCAGGACGCGGACCUCCGACAAGAAUUCUUUCGCAUCCAGUCGGAGUUUGCGGAAAUCAUCCAUCAAGAUGUCCUUCGUACCUCGGGGCAGUUCUACCUCAGAAAUCAACCGUCCAACAGUGACAUCGACACAAUGCUACAAAUGCAGGAUGACAACGCCCGUUCUUUCAUGACUCCCACGAUAGACGGCGGCUUCAUCCACGCUCCGGUCCCUUGAGUCGAGUUGUCUAGUUCUGAAACAUCGAUUGGCUCAUGUUGUAAUUAAACUUUAAUGAACUUGUAGUAUGUCUCUUUGGUUUCGAGAGUCGUUCAACUUAGAUGUAAUCGAUGCUAUUAAUGUCUUCCUUUUCUCUUCCGAUCUUUCUGUUGCCUAAUUAUAUAUUGCUUAUGUAUUGUCUGUGAAUUGGUACUAACGUUUCGUUUGGCUAGUGCAUAGCGAUGCCGACGUAUGUCGUGUACAAGGGUAAGGUUCCCGGAGUCUACGAUGACUGGGAGGAGUGUCGGAGACAGGUUCACCGAUUCAGCGGUAACAGUUACAAAGGGUACACCACUAGGGCCCAGGCCGAAUCUAGAUACGCCCGCUAUCUAGCGGGAGAGGGGAGGGAGCGUUGGAGGAACCGGAUGAAGACGAGUUUCAUCGUGAUGAUGCUCAUCGUGAUGACCGCAGCUCUCUUCUAUGUGAUGGUAGUUUAGAUGAUCGAUAUCGACUUGUAAUGUGAAGACAAACUCGCUACUCGCGGUCUCGAGACUUGUAAUAUAAUGUUCUAUCUUUGUUCGGUCUUUUUAAUUCGGAGACUAAUAUGAUGAAUUGUAUUCGGAGACUAAUAUGAUGAAUUGUAUUCAAAGACUAAUCUUCUAUUGUAUUCGAUGAAUCUGUUGUUGAUGUGUGCUGUCUAUAUUUUGUCAAACUAUACAUUUUGUAACCUGUGCAAAAAACAGAAAAUAAAAAGAUAAAAAAAACCUAAUAUUCAUACUAAUGGCGCAUCACAGGACAGUGCGCCAUUAGUAUGACAGUGCAUACUAAUGGCGCAUCACUGGGUAGUGCGCCAUUAGUAUGCUGCGGUUACUAAUGGCGCAUCCAGUGGUGGUGCGCCAUUAGUAUGCCAAAGCACCUGGGUAUACAUGGCCCCUGGGAGGCAUACUAAUGGCGCACGCUGGCCUAUACUAAUGGCGCACCCGCGGUGCGCCAUUAGUAUACCAGAUACUAAUGGCGCACCAGGUGGUGCGCCAUUAGUAAAAAUUACUAAUGGCGUGCUGUUAAUGGCGCACCACAGAUGCGCCAUUAAUGGCCAUAUUAGGUGCGCCAUUAGUAGGGGUUUUUCUAGUAGUGUUGGUUCGAAUACGACCUAUGUUUGAACAGGAAGCCCCCUAGUGAUCAUACGGUUUAACGGCUAGAUUCGAAUACGAUCAUAAGCCGGAUCAAACAGGUCAAGCUAAAUUCGGAUACGAUCAGCCCCCAAGUGAUCAUGCGAGAUGAUAAUGAUAAUAACAAUGACAUAUUACCUUUGAGGAUGAAAAAAGGACAGAGGUCCUGCUUUAUUAUUUAUAUAAUAUAUACAUCGUCAAAAUAUGUACAUCAUGAGAGCCGGUGGCUCAAGUGUAGUAAGGCAGAAGAUGAGCGAUAUUCCACGGCUGGCGGGUCUUCUCCUCCGACUUACGUGAGUCUUUGUGCUCUCGAACAUCGAUAAGGUAGUAUGACCCGUUGUUCAAGUUCUUACUGACCACAAAGGGACCUUCCCAAGAUGGGGAUAACUUGUGUGCAUCAGUUUGAUCCUUGAUGAGCCGGAGCACCAAAUCACCUUCCUAAAAGGUUCUGGACUUAACUCGGCGGUUGUGAUAGCAGCGCAGGUCAUGUUGGUAAAUCGCCGAGCGAGCUGCUGCCAAGUCACGCUUUUCAUCUAACAGGUCAAGGGCAUCCUGAUGCGCCUGUUCAUUGUCCGCCUCAACAUAAGCCGCCACGCGGGGCAAGUCAUGACGGAUGUCACUAGGGAGAACCGCCUCAACUCCGUAGACCAUGAAGAAAGGCGUAUAACCCAUAGACCUGUUGGGAGUAGUGUUGAUGCUCCAUAUCACAGAGGGUAACUCCUCAACCCAACAACCCGGCAUCCGCUGCAAGGGAUCAAAAGCCGAGGCUUGAUGCCUUUCAAGAUCUCCUGAUUGGCUCUCUCAGCUUGAACCAUUGGAUUGGAGGUGAGCCACUGAUGAAACAUCAAGUCGAAUAUGCUCACGUUGACAAAAUUCUUGCAUGGCACCUUUAGACAGAUUAGUGCCAUUGUCAGUUAUAAUGUUGUGCGGAAAGCCAAAGCGAAAUAUCACCUUCUUCAUAAACUGAACCGCCAUAGCUGCAUCACACUUACUAACUGGCUCUGCCUCAACCCACUUUGUAAAUUUAUCAACCGCCACCAAAAGGUGGGUCUUUUUAUCUUUGGACCUUUUGAAAGGCCCAACCAUGUCAAGACCCCAGACUGCAAAUGGUCAAGUAAUUGGAAUCAUCCUCAACUCUUGAGCCGGCACGUGAGCCCGUCUUGAGAACUUCUGACAGCCGUCACAUUUACUGACCAGGUCCUCUGCAUCAGCAUGAGCCGUCAACCAAUAAAAUCCAUGACGGAAAGCCUUAGCCACAAGGGAUUUUGACCCGACAUGAUGGCCACAAUCCCCUUCAUGAAUCUCACGUAGAAUUUCUUGGCCUUCUUCAGGGGAGACACAACGCUGAAACGCCCCGGUAACACUGUGAUGAUGCAACUCGCCAUUGGCAAUUGUCACUGACUUAGACCGCCGGGUUAUCUGCCUGGCCAAGGUUUCAUCCUCAGGCAACUCACCCCGGGUCAUGUAAGCCAAGUAUGACACUGUCCAAUCUGGGAUGACGUGAAGAGCCAUCACCAAUUGUGCUUCUGGGUCAGGAACAGCCAAGUCUUCCUCUGUAGGUAACUUGACAGAAGGGUUAUGCAGAAUAUCCAAGAAAGUAUUAGGCGGCACCGGCUUAUGCUGAGAGCCUAGCCGGCUUAAGGCAUCAGCCACCUCGUUCUUUCUGCGGUCAAUGUGCUCCACUUGGUAACCCUUGAAAUGUCCAACAAUGACAUCAACCUCACGGCGAUAAGCCGCCAUGAGAGGAUCCUUGGAAUCCCACUUGCCAGUUGAUACUUGUUGAGCCACCAAAUCCGAAUCACCAAAGCACCUUACCCAGUUUAAACUCAUCUCCUUAGCCAUGCGAAGACCAUGGAGCAAGGCCUCAUACUCAGCUGCAUUGUUAGUACAGGGAAACAUCAACCGUAGCACAUAACAAAAUUUGUCACCUCGAGGGGAAGCUAACACGACUCCAGCCCCCGAGACCUCCAAUUGCCUGGACCCGUCAAAGUGAAUAGUCUAAUAUGUGUUAUCCGGCUUUUCUUCAGGUAUCUGCAGCUCUGUCCAAUCGUUGAUGAAAUCCACCAGUGCUUGAGAUUUGAUAGCAGUGUGUGGCACAUAUUUUAAACCAUGAGGCCCAAGUUCAAUGGCCCACUUGGCGAUUCGUCCAGCCCUGCUCCAACAGCCCGCCGCACGCGGACGUCUCCUCCCAACUACCCGCCGCCACCGCCGCCGACCAGAAGAUACACGCUGUCGUCUCCUACAAACUACCCUCCUCCACCCCCGUCGUCGUUCAGCCGCUCCAGCUCCAGCUACUACACGCCGACGUACUCCCCUCCGCCGGCCAGCAGCUCCAGCGACUACCCGCCGGGCGGCUACUACUCCUACUACGCGCCGCCACCCCGGCAGCCGGAUGGCGGGUAAGGUUACCCGCCGCUCGACAACUACUACAACUACGACCAGUCGCGCGGCGGGCCUUACUACGUGCCCAACUACGCGCCCACCACCUUCAACGAUGAGAACCCCAACGCUUGCUCCAUCCAGUGACUCAUGACGACCCCAUCCACGUCCUACGCCACCUUCAGUUUCAGUUUUAUUAGCCCACCCUCCUAUACACGAUAUGUGCAAGCAGAACGCAUGACGUGCUAUCGUUCAGUUCCGACUAAUGAUAUAGUGUACAAUAUAUAAGGCUGCAACUCAUCAAUAAUAAAAAAGCAUCUGGAUGAUAGCCGUCCGAUUGUUCUAUAUUGGUUGGGAAUUCUGUGUGCUGGACUGCUGGGCCUCAAUUAGAGUACGAAGUAUUUUUCUGGGAGAUUAGAGGACACCGAAUUAAUUGAUCAUAUGGAUGCAAAUAUCAACGAAUUUUUUUUUGCGGGGGUAAAGGGAGUUUCAUUACAUAUGAAUAGAGUUACAGUCGAGGGGCCAAAUGUCCUCGAUACAUGGUGGAGCCGAGCCAAGCCACACGGCCGUAGCUCGUUCGGACCGGCUAUAUUUCGCCAGACGAUCAGCAACUCUAUUUUGAAGUCUACUAAUCUUUUGUGAAGAAAACUCCCUACUACCAAGCAGAUCUUUGAUUUCCAGAACUACAUGACCAUACCGCGAUUGAACCAACGCACCAUUUGUCAAACUAGACAGGGCUUCCGAGGAGUCCGUUUGCACGAUCACUGGAAGAUCGGAAUGCUGAAUGGCCAAAGCCAUACCCUGCAUGAUCGCAUGUAGCUCAGCUUCGAGUGGACCGUUGCAAUGAAAGAUAUAACGAUACGCGGCCAUCAGAAUCUCCCCUUUUUCGUUCCUGAGCACCAUCCCCGCAGCAGCAGAGCCAUCCUCUUGGAGAAACGAGCCAUCAACCGAGAGCGCCACGGUGCCCUGCGCUGGGGCUGGCCAUGGAACUGCAGGACGCUCCACCGAGAGCCUCGGCCUGUCUAUAUCCACAGUGGUCAUCUUACCCUUUAGGAUAUCUUCAGUGGAAUAGCGACCAGCUAGCUUGAUCGAUUUAUAGUAGCUAUCCAGGUACUUGACGGUGGAAAGCACUGGGGGGGCUAGCUUCCCAUGGGUCAUAUCAUUCCGCAACUGCCAAAUCCUCCAAAAAAGCAGGAUGAUCAAGUCACGGACAUCUUCAGAGCACCUAGACAGCAAGGAAACCAGCCAUUCUUUUCAAUCAUAGAUGAUAGCCUCGUCCCCAGGCAGCGGCCAUCUUCGAUAUAUAGAGCAAUGUCAAAUGGGUUGAUAUUUGUGCAUGGCGAGAGUGGAUGUAUCCACAUUAUGAUCACACACAAAGAUGGGGAAGUUGCUGACCUUUAUGUUGAAUAUGGUACAGAGGAGGAAGAUCAUUUUUUUCCUGGUAAGUGCACUCCCUCUGUAAACAAAUAUAAGAGCGUUUAGAUCACUAAAAUAAUGAUCUAAACACUUAUAUUUCUUUAGGAGGGAGUAAUAUGUGAAUACAAGUGGAUAACAAUUAUAUCCAGCCUCUGCAACAUCACAAAAUCGUGAACCAGGUCUAAACAUACCCGUAAUCUGAGAAAGCAAAUCUAGGUUUUCACUUUCCUUGUGAUGGGUCUGGCUUAGGGAGGAACAUGCCAAGUAUCUGCUUGGGAUUAUUGUCGGACUGUAUACUCAGGACACCAGGGAUCAAGGAUACCCUAUAUUUUUAAGUUCGGCCAUAUGGUUUACAUCAGCAAUCAUUAGUAAGGUACUUGAAGUCCUUUCUCCAACAGAAUUACAGAAGGCAAUGGACGACCAGUUGUGUUUUUGUCCAUCGAUUAUCACAUUCUUUCCUGCUACAAUAGUUGUAGACCAUUCAUAAGAUAUUCCAUGCCUUCUCUUUCUUCUGCAGAUUGUUUAUGUAGUGCAUUAAGCACAUAUGUUUUUAUACACCUCAACUUGUUCACUAACUGAAUAACUGAGGGUCCAGGAACCAAUACCAUAUUGCAAAGUUGUCCUAGACUUUCAUUUUCUAACUGGAACAACACAUCGGCUAUCUGGUUCCCCCUCUAUUUCUCCUUCUUAUGGCUUCAUGGUCUGACCGUUUUCCAUUGUUGGUUGUGAAAACAGCUUGGAUUCAAAAUACUUCAUAAAAUAGCGUGACUGCAACUGUAACUAAUUGGGAUGCUGAGGGUACAAGUUGCACCUUUGUAUUGGAGGAGAACCCACUUGUAGAUUUUGUUGAACUCUUUGUUGAGCUGCCGGAUACUUGCACAGGCCUUCAAUAUUGCAAUGUGUUGAGCAGAGUUAUCAGCGGAGCACUUGAAAUGGUCCAUCCUCUAUACUGCCAUCUUUAUAUUCUCUUGUCAAAUAGUCAAUGAAUAUAUACUUCACAAAAUGUAACUGGGAUCCCUGAGCUCACGCUUCUAUAAAACUAACAUUGAAUCAAUAAUUGCAUAGUAAUAUAAAUGAUUUCCUCCAUGUGAAUUUCAUUUCCACAUCUUAAGAGUAUCUCCAAUAGAUAAUGUAUUUUACAUCAUUAGAAAAUGAUUGGAGUAAAAUAUAUAUCAACAAAAGUGCUUUUUACAUCACCAAAAACGUCCAACUCCAACAGAGGAUGUAAAAUAGGGCAGCCACAUUACAGCCGCUCCAAUAGAUGAUAUAAAAAUAGGCCACCAGCCGCUUGAUAGCAGCACAACAUCAGCCAAUAGCAGCUAUCAAGUGCAUAUGUUUGAACCAAAAUCACCCCAAAUUAAUUCAUAAACAAACUUAACAAGAAUUUCAUCAAUCCACAAUAUUAAAUUAUUAUAUAAUUCAUCAAAUCCACAACAUUAAAUGCAACACAAAUGCAACAAAUUCUUGCACAUUACAACAAACAUAGAGAUGAAACUAGGAGACUUGUUCCCCAUGCCAUGUCCACCACUCCUCCAUGAUAUCUUUUUAAAGAUUACUGUGUGUAAGCGUCUGAUUCAGUUUUCCUUUCUACUCGGCCAAACGCGUAUUCCCAUGAGGUCAUAGAAUGUGCAAUUCAAAUUUGGUCCAUGCUCAUUCUGGAUGAUCAUGCUGUGCAUGAUCACACAAGCAGUCAUUAUAUACCAAAGAUUCUCCUGAUCCCAAAAUUUAACCGGUCAUCGCACAAUAGCAAAUUGAGAUCGCAAAAUCGCAAAAGCCCUCUAUACAUCUUUUCUAGCCGCCGCUUGAGCAUUCUGAAAAUAAAGUUCUUUCUUACCUUGGGGGCUUGAGAUUAGCUUCAUGAAUGUAGCUCACUUCAUACAGAUCCCAUCCGAACGGUAAUACUCAUAUAUAGUUGUAUGUGCAACCGUUUACCUGGACGGUCACCAGUCGAUCUUCUUCAUUGGCUAACUUUGCAAAAAGAGGUGAUCGAUUGAGCACAUUGAUACCAUUGCGUGAUCAUGUCUCCCUAUCAGCCAUGGCCUCAAGAAUGAUGAUGGCAUGCUUGUUGCAUCCUUUGAAUUGUCCAUGCCAUGUAGUACAAUUCUUCCACUUCUAGUGCAUGCAAUCCAUAGACCCAAGCAUACUAGAUAACCCACGGGCUUUGUUCAUCUCCAAAAGCCUCUGAGUGUCCUAAAUAUUGGGUGCUCUCAAGUAUUAUGGACCAAACACUUCUACCAUAAUCCUUAUAAAUUGUUUGACAUAAAUGAUAGAAGUGCUCUCUGCCAUUACUAAAUUGUCAUCUAUGUAAUCUAUUGGAACACCAUAGGCCAUCAUGCGCAAUGCCAAGUGCCCUUCUGUUCAGUCCUAUGUCUGAGCAAACCAACGCAAUUCCUCCUUUGCUCAAAGGUUUGGUCAUUUUGCUUCACAAAAUAGCAAAUAUGAAUAAACAAAUCAUUGGACCUUCUGAAACAGCGACAUAAGUACCUCUCCGUAAAAACUAGCGGACUACCAAAGUAGUUGUGCAUCAAUCUUUCGUGCGACUACUCAUUCUCUCUGUAUGUAAUCAUGGCCAAACACGGAACCGCCAUGCUUCGGCCUCUUCCUCUUGUGCAUCGCUAUGAGCAAAGCAGUGUCAUCAUCCUUGGUCAAGUCUAAUUCCUCAUCCUAUGGGGAAUUGUCCCAAACAGAGAAGUCCCAUGAGCUCAUCUAUAAUACGAAAAUCUGCAUCAAACUACGUCUGUGCGCACAAUAAAAAACCGACAAGUUAAACAAAAAAUUAGCUUGGGCAAAUUUUAUCGAACACCUUGUGUGCGACGAGGAACAAUCCGGACGGUUGCAUGUUGGUGGGAUUGCACGGUUGGGUCUCCUACUCCUUCUUGGCGGUUGUUGGCUGCUGGCUGAGCCUAAUUCUGUCGACGCAACUGCGGCGACGCGGACCGAACGGCAGCUCGGCUCAGUCGCGGUGGACGCGUGGCAGCCCGGUGUUACUCUGGCAGCUAGUACUCUUACCCCAGGCAACGACUACGAGUUAUGGGAGCCAUCACAACCUGAAUGGACCGAAAAGCACCGCGCGGCUGCGGAUUCAAAUCGGCCCGUCAUCGAGGCCUCCGGGUGUGCGGCUGGCGGUGGGGAUGGACGGUGGCCAGUCGCAACAUGGUCAGGAGUGGACGGACAGAUGGCGGUGGGCAGACGACCAUGGUGAAAUCGCUGGCGGUAGAAGGCAGGUGGAGGAGCGGCUGCGGCACGGGAACGUUCCAGACCGCAGUUGAGGGUGCGCGCGCGUGUGGACAGCUGCGUUUUGCUCUGGCGGCUGGUGAUGCAAAUUUUAAUCCCACCAGUUUCAUACUCCUUCCGUCCCAUAAUGUAAGACGUUUUUAGCACUACAGUUUAUUUCCGACAUCCGCCUCUCCAGCUAGCUUAAGCAGCAUCACGGUGUAGGUUUCCGUGAAGGCGGACGUCACAUCAGUCCGUGAUGACGCUUACGAUCGAGAUGCGGGUGAAGCUUACCAAGAUGGUUCCUCGGCAUGGAUGACGACUAGUUCCGUCGCCGGGGGCAGCUCUCUGGGCAUGGUGGUCCUCGUCUGGUUUCCCCGUUUUGCUUUCCCUGUGGCUGCAAUUCUGGCAUGACUGUCAUGAGGUACAAUUUUAUGGCUCUAUUGUGUAGUGUCUAUGUAGUGCAGCCUUGUAGAGAUCUUGUGCAGGGCUUUCCUGCUUUGGAACAGUUUGGUAUAUUUGGUCAGAGCAAAUCGUUGAUGGUGGUUAUAUGUCGUGUUGUGUUGCUCGAAAAUGAAAUAAUUUUCCUCUGAUUAAUUAGCUGGCAAAUCUUUUGGAACAACUUCUUUUGUUUCUGUUGAGAAUUAUCUUUUGGGAACAACUGGUCUGAAAAAAGAAGUCCAUAGGCCAAUUACUCGUCUCAGCUGCCCAGCAGCUUGUUUUCAAGAUUAUGGGCCCUGAUGUCCUCCGGAAGAUUACUACUAAAGUGUGGAAUAGUUGUGAUUCUCAUAUUGAUAUUCACACCUUGAGGUAUCAAACCCUCCCAAACUGUGCAUGGUUUGACAUGGUUAGCAUCGUGUCACUAGGAGAAAAGGGGACAAAGGUCCAGACCGGGUCAGCCCAUUAGUCCCGGUUCAGUACAGAACCGGGACCCAUGGGGGCAUUGGACCCGGUUCGUGAGCCCCGGGGGCCGGCCGGGCCACGUGGGCCAUUGGUCCCGGUUCGUCUGGACCUUUUGGUCUCGGUUGGUGGGACGAACCGGGACCAAUGGGCCUCGCUCCUGGCCCGCCUUUGGUCCCGGUUCAUGCCAUCAACCGGGACCAAUGAUGUGCCUAUAUAUACCCCCUCUCUUAAGAGCAGAGCACACUGCUCUGUUUUUACAUAGUUUUAAUGUAUGGUUUAAUUAAUUUAGAUGCUCUGUAGAGCUUUAUGUUGUUAGAUGAGAACUAUGUAUGUACUUUGGUUUUAAUGUGAUGGUGAACUUCUAUUAAUUUGGUCACUUAAUUAUCUAUUCAUGAGGUUCUGUAAUGAUUUUUGACACACUUGUUUAUAAUGCACGCAGAUGAACCGGCAAUGGAUGUACGGUGACAGACACACCUCCGAGUACAUUAAUUGUGUGCAUGAUUUUCUCGAAGUGGCCGAGGCAAACAAGCAGAAUGGUUUUAUGUGUUGUCCAUGCCCUAUAUGUGGGAAUACGGAGUCUUACUCUGACCGGAAAAUCCUUCACACCCACCUACUUUACAAGGGUUUCAUGCCACACUAUAAUGUUUGGACGAGGCAUGGAGAAAUGGGUAUUAUGAUGGAAGACGGCGAAGAAGAAGAGUACGAUGACAAUUAUGUGCCCCCUGAAUACGGUGAUGCUACUGAACAUCAAGAGGAACCAGAUGAUGUGCAUGAUGAUGCUGCAAUGGGCGAAGCUGCUGAAGAUCAAGAGGAACCAGACGAUGUGCCCGAUGAUGAUGAUCUCCGCCAGGUCGUUGUCGAUGAAAGGACGCAAUGGGAAAGUCAAAAGGAGAAGCUGAAGUUCGAUCGCAUGUUAGAGGAUCACAAAAAAGGGUUGUACCCCAAUUGCGAAGAUGGCAACACAAAGCUCGGUACCAUACUGGUAUUGCUGCUGUGGAAGGCAGAGAAUGCUGUGCCUGACAAAGGAUUUGAGAAGCUACUGAAAAUAUUGAAGAAGAAGCUUCUAAAGGAUAACGAAUUGCCCGACAGUACAUACGCAGCAAAGAAGGUCGUAUGCCCUCUAGGAUUGGAGAUGGAGAAGAUACAUGCAUGCCCUAAUGACUGCAUCCUCUACCGCGGUGCGUACAAGGAUCUGAACGCAUGCCCGGUAUGCGGUGCAUUACGGUAUAAGAUCAGACGAGAUGACCCUGGUGAUGUUGACGGCGAGCCCCCCAGGAAGAGGGUUCCUGCGAAGGUGAUGUGGUAUGCUCCUAUAAUACCAUGGUUGAAACGUCUGUUCAGAAACGGAGAGCAUGCCAAGUUGAUGCGAUGGCAUAGUGAGGACCGUAAGAAAGACGGGAAGUUGAGAGCACCAGCUGACGGGUCGCAGUGGAGAAAAAUCGAGAGAAAGUACUGGGAUGAGUUUGCAAGUGACCCAAGGAACGUAUGGUUUGCUUUAAGCGCGGAUGGCAUUAAUCCUUUCGGGGAGCAAAGCAGCAAUCACAACACCUGGCCCGUGAAUCUAUGUAUGUAUAACCUUCCUCCUUGGAUGUGCAUGAAGCGGAAGUUCAUUAUGAUGCCAGUUCUCAUCCAAGGCCCUAAGCAACCCGGCAAUGACAUUGAUGUGUACCUAAGGCCAUUAGUUGAAGAACUUUUACAGUUGUGGAAUGGAAACGGUGUACGUACAUGGGAUGAGCACAAACAGGAGGAAUUUGACCUAAAUGCGUUGCUGUUCGUGACCAUCAACAAUUGGCCUGCUCUCAGUAACCUUUCAGGACAGACAAACAAGGGAUACCACGCAUGCACGCACUGUUUACUUGACACCGAUAAUAUAUACCUAGGAAGCUACAGGAAGAAUGUGUAUUUGGGCCAUCGUCGAUUUCUUUCAACCAACCAUCAAUGUCGAAAGAAAGGCAAGCAUUUCAAAGGCGAGGUAGAUCACCCGAAGAAGCCCGCCAUGCGUACCGGUGAUCACGUACUUGCUAUGGUCAAUGAUUUACACGUAAUCUUUGAAAAGGGUCCCAGUGCACUAGCUGUUCCGAAUGACACUGAGGGACACACACCCAUGUGGAAGAAGAAAUCUAUAUUUUGGGACCUACCCUACUGGAAAGACCUAGAGGUUCGCUCUUCAAUCAACGUGAUGCACGUGACGAAGAACCUUUGCGUGAACCUGCUAGGCUUCUUGGGCGUGUAUGGAAAGACAAAAGAUACACCUGAGGCACAGGAGGACCUGCAACGUUUGCACGAAAAAGACGGCAUGCCUCCGAAGCAGUAUGAAGGUCCUGCUAGCUACGCUCUUACGAAAGAAGAGAAAGAAAUCUUCUUUGAAUGCCUGCUCAGUAUGAAGGUCCCGACUGGCUUCUCGUCGAAUAUAAAGGGAAUAAUAAAUAUGCCAGAGAAAAAGUUCCAGAACCUAAAGUCUCAUGACUGCCACGUGAUUAUGACGCAACUGCUUUCGGUUGCAUUGAGGGGCUUCUACCAAAAAACGUCUGAUUAGCCAUUGUGAAGCUAUGUGCAUUCCUCAAUGCAAUCUCUCAGAAGGUGAUUGAUCCAGAAAUCGUACCAAGGCUAAGGAGUGAUGUGGCGCAAUGUCUUGUCAGUUUCGAGCUGGUGUUCCCACCAUCCUUCUUCAAUAUCAUGACGCACGUCCUAGUUCAUCUAGUCAACGAGAUUGUCUUUCUGGGGCCCGUAUUUCUACACAAUAUGUUCCCCUUUGAGAGGUUCAUGGGAGUCCUAAAGAAAUAUGUCCGUAACCGCGCUAGGCCAGAAGGAAGCAUCUCCAUGGGCCAUCAAACAGAGGACGUCGUCGGGUUUUGUGUUGACUUCAUUCCUGGCCUUAAGAAGAUAGGUCUCCCUAAAUCGCGGUAUGAGGGGAGACUGACUGGAAAAGGCAUGCUUGGAAGGGACUCAAUAAUAUGCAGGGACGGAUAUUCUUGGUCUCAAGCACACUACACAGUUCUACAAAACUCUACCUUGGUGACCCCGUAUGUCGAUGAACACAAGAACAAUCUGCGCUCCAAACACCCGGAGCAGUGCGACGAGUGGAUUACAUGUGAACACAUCAGGACUUUCAGCAGUUGGUUGGAAACACGUCUCAGAGGUGACAACACUGUUUGUGAUGAGUUGUACUUGUUGUUUAGGGGACCAUCUUUGACUGUAUUGAUAUACAAAGGAUACGAGAUAAAUGGGAAUACAUUUUACACGAUUGACCAAGAUCAAAAGAGCACCAACCAAAACAGCGGUGUCCGCUUUGAUGCAACAACCGAGAGGGGAAAGGACACAUAUUAUGGUUACAUAGUGGACAUAUGGGAACUUGACUACGGACAUGAUUUUAAGGUCCCUUUGUUUAAGAAUGGGUCAAUCUGUCAGGAGGCGGGGUAGAGGUAGACCCACAGUACGGAAUGACAAUAGUGGAUCUGAAAAAUCUUGGGUACACUGACGAACCGUUCGUCCUAGCCAAUGAUGUGGCACAGGUUAUCUAUGUGAAGGACAUGUCUACCAGAUCGAGAAAAAGAAAAGAUAAGGAAGCGAAUACAUCAUACGAUGAGCCAAAGCGCCACAUAGUUCUUUCAGGAAAAAGGGACAUCGUGGGAGUGGAGGGCAAGACAGACAUGUCUGAAGAUUAUGCAAAGUUUCACGGAAUUCCUCCCUUCAAAGUCAAGGCUGACCCAAGCAUCCUGAUAAACGAUGAAGAUUAUCCAUGGUUAUGGCGCAAUAAGCAAAUUACACAAGCGAAGAAAAAGUGAAUACUUUCUCCCGCAACUAUUUUGAUGAUACCAUGCCAACUUUGUAACAGACGAGUAUGAUACCGUUGUCCGUUUUGUACCUGCACAUGCUAUGUGGGUGAAAUUAUGAUACCAUGCCAACUUUCAACUUUUUCAGAGUUCAUUUGAAAUGCUUUAAUGUCUUAUGGUUCUGCCCUCGUAAUACCAUUAAUCCCGGUUCGCUCCUUGUAAACUAUGUUCUCACCAAGAACACUCUCAAGAGGGCAGCCACGUGGGCCAUUGGUCCCGGUUCGUCUGGACCUUUUGGUCCCGAUUCCACGCACGAACCGGGACCAAUGCGCCUCGCCCCUGGCCCAUGACCAUUAGUCCCGGUUUGUGCCACAAACCGGGACUAAAGGGUUAGUCCUCGUUGCGCUCAGAGUUUAGUCCCACCUCGCCAACCGAAGGGCGCUCACACCAGUUUAUAAGCCCGUCCCUCUCUGCCUUGUUGAGCUCCUCUCAAAGUGAAAAUAGAUGCCCCUAUACAGGGAAUUUGACCUAAAUUUAUAGUGAAUUUCUCUGAAAUUCAUAGAAAUUUAUUAUGAAUUUAGGUUGAAUUUUCUCUAUAGGCGCAUCCAUGUUCAUUUUUUAGUAAAGUUAAUCACAAACUUGUGAUUCACACAAAUUUCAAAGAAUUCAAAUUUUAACUAUUCAAAUUUGAAAACUAAUGGCACUAACAGAAAGUUUAUACUUUUUCUAAAACUAAUGGCACUAACAGAAAGUUUAUAAUUUUGCUGACCUAAAAGCAAAAAGAAUUAAAAAAUAAAGCAAAAAACAAAAGAAAAUAAAUAAUGCACAAAACAAAAGUAAAAAAACUGGAAACAAAAUAAAAAUAGCAACAAUAAGUAUUUUGUUGUAGGUAGAAACAAAAUAAAAUAAUUAAAGCAACAAAGAAAACAAAAAAACAAAAAAAGUGUUUUCAAAUUUGAAAACUAAUAGCACUAACANNNNNNNNNNNNNNNNNNNNNNNNNNNNNNNNNNNNNNNNNNNNNNNNNNNNNNNNNNNNNNNNNNNNNNNNNNNNNNNNNNNNNNNNNNNNNNNNNNNNNNNNNNNNNNNNNNNNNNNNNNNNNNNNNNNNNNNNNNNNNNNNNNNNNNNNNNNNNNNNNNNNNNNNNNNNNNNNNNNNNNNNNNNNNNNNNNNNNNNNNNNNNNNNNNNNNNNNNNNNNNNNNNNNNNNNNNNNNNNNNNNNNNNNNNNNNNNNNNNNNNNNNNNNNNNNNNNNNNNNNNNNNNNNNNNNNNNNNNNNNNNNNNNNNNNNNNNNNNNNNNNNNNNNNNNNNNNNNNNNNNNNNNNNNNNNNNNNNNNNNNNNNNNNNNNNNNNNNNNNNNNNNNNNNNNNNNNNNAUAAAAUAAAUCAAGCAAGAAAGAAAAAAAACAAAAAAAGUGUUUUCAAAUUUGAAAACUAAUGGCACUAACAGAAAGUUCAUAAUUUUUCUAAAACUAAAAGCAAAAGGAAUUAAAAAAUAAAGCAAAAAACAAAAGAAAAUAAAUAAUGCAGAAAACGAAACAAAAAAUCAGGAAUAAAAAUAAAAAUAGCAACAAUAAGUAAAUCAAACAAAAAACAAAAAAAGUGCCUCCUACUGGGCCCCCACGGCGUGAGUAUGACUAGAAACCCUACCAUGGGCCAGGAUUCAGGCCCGCAGAAGGCCCAACAGGCCCACAGCCAAAGAAUUGUUAGAUUAGGCCCAUAGGCCUGCAGUUCAGAGGAGUUCGAGAGAGAGGAGGAAGCAGUGCUUAUAAGCAGGUGGUCGACGCUCUCAACUAGCGAGGUGGGACUAAACUCCCACCACCACGCCGCUGUGCAAGACCAUUGGUCCCGGUUGGUGGCACGAACCGGGACCAAUGCCACCCUUUGGUCCCGGUUCGUGGCACCAACCGGGACCAAUGUCCCCCCCCUUUAGUCCCGGUUCGUGCCACCAAUCGGGACCAAAGGUCGCCGCUUCCCGCCCUUUGUGCUGCUGAAAAGAGGCCUUUGGUCCCGGUUGCUGGCACCAACCGGGACUAAAGGAGGGCAUUGGUCCCGGUUUGUGGCACGAAGCGGGACCAAAGGCCUGGGUAUAUAAGUAGCACUUAGGAAAAUUUGACGAACUCAUUGCCAGUUGCCCCCGGCCCGCCCGACGACGCCGAGCUAGUCGACGCCGCCAGGCUGCCCAGAUCGACGCCGUCCGCUNNNNNNNNNNNNNNNNNNNNNNNNNNNNNNNNNNNNNNNNNNNNNNNNNNNNNNNNNNNNNNNNNNNNNNNNNNNNNNNNNNNNNNNNNNNNNNNNNNNNNNNNNNNNNNNNNNNNNNNNNNNNNNNNNNNNNNNNNNNNNNNNNNNNNNNNNNNNNNNNNNNNNNNNNNNNNNNNNNNNNNNNNNNNNNNNNNNNNNNNNNNNNNNNNNNNNNNNNNNNNNNNNNNNNNNNNNNNNNNNNNNNNNNNNNNNNNNNNNNNNNNNNNNNNNNNNNNNNNNNNNNNNNNNNNNNNNNNNNNNNNNNNNNNNNNNNNNNNNNNNNNNNNNNNNNNNNNGCGCAGCCCCGACGCCGUCCGCGUGUCCCCGUCGUCGCCCCUGCCCCAUCGCCGCCAGGCUGCCCCGACGCCGCCCGCCGCCCCGCCGACACAGUCGUCGUUGCCCGCGCCCGUCAUCGCCGUCGCCCACGCCCGUCGUUGCCGUCGCUGUGGGGAAGCACCACACCGGCUCCCGCGACCCAUUCAUCCCCGAGGCCGUUCGUCCGCCGCCGCACCGAUUCUGGCCGGCGACCUCGACCCCUCCCCGCACUGUGAGCCCCGGCCUCCUCCCCUUUCCUUCUCAUUGCCAUCCCUGCACGCCAUCCGUAAGCGCGCGCCACUGCCAACCAUCGUUGUCAUCGCCGUAUAAUGCUUUGUAUAUGCUCACUAUAUGUAUGUAUGUAUGUAUGUAUGUAUGUAUGUAUGUAUGUAUGUAUGUAUGUAUGUAUGUAUGUAUGUUCACUGUAUAAUGCUCUGUAUAUGUUGUACAAUGCUCAUUUUUGCUUUUUUUUGUUACCAAGAAAAAGGUCUAUUUUUUGGUGAUAUGUAUGUUCAUAUGCUCAUUAAUAUUUAAGAAAAUGUUCAUAUGCUCAUUUAAGAAAAUGUUCAUAUGUAACAUUUAAGAAAAAAAGUAAAUGUAUGUAUAUUCAUAUGCAAAGAAUUAUUUUUGGAUGAAAUGAGAUGAGAUGAGAUGUGUUUUGUGUUGGAGAAGAAAAGAGGAAGAAGGAAGAAGGAAGAAGAAGGAAAAGAGGGUCGAGGGGGGGGUCGAUAUACCCCCUCCCCGAUUCUAUUUUUUCUUCUUCUCCUCUAUUCCUUUCUUCUUCUCCUCUUUUCUUUUCUUCUUUUUUUUCUUCGAUCUUCUCCUCUAUUCCUUUCUUCUUCUCCUCUUUUUAUUUCUUCUUCGUUUUCUUAUGUUUUAUCGGGUCUGUCGUCAUCGAUAUACCCCUCCCGAUAACUUCAACACGAGGGGGGGAGUCGAUAUACCCCCUCCCUGAUAAUAUUAUUUUCCCAUGUACGUAUGUCGUCGUUGUUGAUAUAACCCCCUCCCGAUAACUUCAACAUGUGGGAGGGGGGUUGAUAUACCCCCUCCCCCGAUAACAUUAUUUUCCCAUGUAUGUAUGUCGUCAUUGUCGAUAUUACCCCCUCUCGACUGUGAUAGCUUAUACCAAAACUCUCGAGGACACCCAAACCCUAGAAAAAACGAUGUCGGUCUCCUACCCCCUCCCGCCGCGCCCCUACCCGACAAAAUCUCUCGAGGCCACCCCCUCUCGCUCGACCAAAACUCUCGAGGGCACCCAAACCCUAGGGAAAAAAUGAUGUCGGUAUCCUACACCUCCCGUCGCGCCCCUACCCUUGAAGCGUUGCCGAGGCCACCCCAAACCCGAAAUAAGCUCGGUCUACGUUUGCCACUAAUAUAUCCACGUGCUGUCAUGUUUGUGUAAUAAUUGUCAUGUUGUAAUAUUUGCACAAACAAUGGAGCACAUACGAGACGAGGAAGCAGAAGAGGUGUUGGGGGACAUAAUCUUAGCCGGAGGUGAUAUCUUGUCGUAUCUUAACGACAAUGAUGGUCUGGAAGAACAGGGUGAAGAAGCAGGCUACGGUGAUCGAAGAAUGGAGGAGGAAAGACAUGAUUAUGAUGGCUCCGGUGACCCAAUGACGGUGCAAGAAGGAGACCGUGAUGACGGCUCCAGUGACCGAACCGAGUCUGGCCAGGUAUAUAUAUUAGUUAAGCCUAUGCUGACUAGCUAAUUGAUGCAUUCAUUGUUUUGGUAUAUGUACACAUAUUAAUUAACUCUCGUCUUUCUUCUUUUUUCUAGCCCUCCGGAUCGAGCACAACUUCGGUAAGGAGACGAGGCCCGAAGAAAAAGUUGAGCUCAGAUGAAAGGUUUGAGAUCAAUGCAAUCACGCGCAACGGCGCACUGAUUGAACCCAUCCGGACAAAGAACGCAUUUGCUGCUCAGUGCGGGGUUCUUGUUAGGGACAAGAUCCCGAUCAGCAUCCACCAAUGGUAUAAGCCUAAGAACGAAGACCCUGAGGUGUCUUAUGUCAAUGAUGUGCAGAAAGAUGAUCUUUGGACUGAGCUGAAGGCAAAUUUCACUCUACCGCGAGAGGAGGAUCCAGAGAAGCCAGUUAAACAGCAAUUAAUCAAGUCUUUUGCUUAAGAAGAUGGCAGGCCUAUUCAGGAGGUGGAGGAAAGAGCUGAAAAAGUUUGUCGACAAAGAAGAGACACCAGAAUUCAUCGGCAAAUAUGAGAAGAUCAGAGAUCACUGGCCCGCAUUUGUGGCCCACGCGACAUCGGAAAAGAGUAAGAAGAUGUCGGCGACAAACAAGCAAAAUGCUACGAAGAAGCAGUUUCACCAUCGCACGGGGUCAGGUGGCUGCCUCUAAGCCCGGCCUAAGUGGGCCAAGGAUGAGAAUGAUCUGCUUGAUAAAGGGAUCGAACCAGAGACAAUUAACUGGCCAGACCAUUGCCAGACUUGGUUCUUCGGGGCUGGCGGAACCUUGGACCCUGUAUCAGGGAAGUGCCGUUGGACGGACGAGCAACAGAAAAUACCAGUCAAGAGGCUUCGGCACUAUAUCAAUGCAGCGCAGCAAGGGACGUUCAAUCCAGAGAGGGAGAAUGACGAGCUAAUAAUGGCCCUCGGGAAUCCUGAGUGUCGGGGAAGCUGAUCCACCAACACCUAUGGGGACGGAGCCCCUUUCGGUUCGGAGGGGGGCAGAGGUCGCACAAAGAGCGGAUCGAGGCGGUGCACGCGAGCAGUUUUACCCAGCUUUGCGUAAAACCCUACUGCUGCUUGUUUGUGUAUAUUGAAUCCUUGCUCAGGAGCGAUGGACGCUAUCCAACUGAGCGUGGGAGUGUUUCUGGUGUUUCGAAUGAGCCGCACCGGCCGAACCUCUUCUACGUUGCGCUUGGGCCUCCUUUUAUGCUUUAAAGGGGUCACCGACAGGUGGCAACGUAGACUAGAGGGGUAAAAAUGGAAAAGGAUGCGGUAGGUGCAGCUACCGCUACUGUGGAUACAGUGCACCCUACGUAACUCAUGACGGCAGGGGACAAGGACAUUGAAUGCCCGUCUGAGUUGCCUAAACAGUGCAAAAAGUGACCGUUAGGAGCGCCACCGUUCGCCAUGAUGGCAUCCUCUUCAUCUCCGCUUGCCACCGCGUACCCCUAGCUGCACAGCCUCCUGCCACGUGUGCUUGGGAGAGUCCUAGAGCGACACGUUAGCAGGUGUGCUGGAGCGCGGGCACGAAGUGGGGGUUUCCCGCGGCAAGCUCCUUGCCGCGGUCGUCGUCUUGUCAUGUUUGGGAGCUUGUUGCUCACCGGGCCUUGCCGGGACGCAGGGCGCGUCGCGGCAAGCUUUCUUGAAGUGCCAUGGUUGGCCUUCCCGGCAAGCUCCUCUUGCCGGGGCCUUGUCUCUUCCCGGCAAGAUCCUCUUGCCGGAGCCUGGGUUGGCCUUCCCGGCAAGCUCCUCUUGCCGGGGCUUUGGUUGGACUUCCCAGCAAGCUCCUCUUGCCGGGGCCUUGGUUUGAGUACUUUGUUCUUGAAUGGUCUUCAAGGGAACCACGGAGGGUCUUGGCGGUCACCCGGCAAGCCUUGCCGCGGGAUGCUGCGACCGCCCAUGCACAAGUUCGGGGUACUAGGGUACCCCUACUCUAGUACACCGACACUGAGCACCCUGGACGGACACGAGGCUCGCUAGGCUCCAUUCCGUGGAACGUUGGUUUUCCGGACGCAGGGGGUUACAAAACCCAGGAGAGGAGGAAGAAAGUGGAGCAUAGGCAACUGCAGGCGCUGCACGAAAGGGUAAUGGGGCUAGAGGAACGAGAAGCAGAUCGCAGCAAACGACCUGCCGAAGCUUCCCCCGAAGCUACCCCGCCAUCUCAGCAGAGAAGCAGUGUGUGAUACGUCUCCAACAUAUCUAUAAUUUUUGAUUGCUCCAUGCUACUUUAUCUAUUGUUUUGGACUAUAUUGGUCUUCAUUUUCAACUUUUAUAUUACUUUUGGGACUAACCUAUUAACUGGAGGCCCAGCCCAGAAUUGCUGUUUUUUGCCUUUUUCAGUAUUUCGAAGAAACAGAAUAUCAAAUGGAGUCCAAACGGAAUGAAACCUUCGGGAUCGUGAUUUUCCAACCGAACGUGAUCCAGGAGACUUGGACCCUACUCCAAGAAGUGUCCGAGGAGGUCACGAGGGUGGAGGGCGCGCCCCCUGGGUGCGCCCCCCUACCUCAUGGGCCCCACAGAGCCCCACCGACGUACUCCUUCCUCCUAUAUAUACCUACGUAUCCCCGAACGAUCAGAACAGGAGCCAAAAACCUAAUUCCACCGUCGCAACCUUCUGUAUCCACGAGAUCCCAUCUUGGGGCCUGUUCCGGAGCUCAGCCGGAGGGGGCAUCCACCAUGGAGGGCUUCUACAUGAUCACCAUAGCCCCUCCAAUGAAGUGUGAGUAGUUUACUUCAGACCUUCGGGUCCAUAGCUAGUAGCUAGAUGGCUUCUUCUCUCUUUUUGGAUCUCAAUACAAUGUUCCCCCUCUCUCGUGGAGAUCUAUUCGAUGUAAUCUUCUUAUUGCGGUGUGUUUGUUGAGACCGAUGAAUUGUGGGUUUAUGAUCCAGUAUUAUCUAUGGAAAAUAUUUGAUUCUUCUCUGAAUUCUUUUAUGUAUGAUUGACUUAUCUUUGCAAGUCUCUUCAAAUUAUCUUUUUGGUUUGGCCAACUAGAUUGGUAGUUCUUGCAAUGGGAGAAGUGCUUAGCUUUGGGUUCAAUCUUGUGGUGUCCUUACUCAGUGACAGAAAGAGUUGCAAGGCACGUAUUGUAUUGUUGCCAUCGAGGAUAACAAGAUGGGAUUUUUAUCAUAUUGCAUGAAUUUAUCCCUCUACAUCAUGUCAUCUUGCUUACGGCGUUACUCUGAUUUUAACUUAAUACUCUAGAUGCAUGCUGGAUAGCGGUCGAUGUGUGGAGUAAUAGUAGUAGAUGCAGAAUCGUUUCGAUCUACUUGUUUUGGACGUGAUGCCUAUAUACAUGAUCAUUGCCUAGAUAUACUCAUAACUAUGCUCAGUUCUGUUAAUUGCUCAACAGUAAUUUGUUCACCCAUUGUAGAAUACUUAUGCUCUUGAGAGAAGCCACUAGUGAAACCUAUGGCCCCCGGGUCUAUUCUCAUCGUAUUAAUCUCUAUCACUUUAUUUACUUGCUUUGUUUUUACUUUGCCUUUACUUUUUACUUUGCAUCUAUCUAUCAAAAAUACCAAAACUAUUAUCUCUAUCAGAUCUCACACUAGUAAGUGACCGUGAAGGGAUUGACAACCCCUAAGCGUUGGUUGCGAGUUGCUAUCGUUUUGUGUAGGUACGAGGGACUUGUGCGUGGUCUCCUACUGGAUUGAUACCUUGGUUCUUGAAAACUGAGGGAAAUACUUACGCUAGUUUACUGCAUCAUCCUCUCCUCUUCAGGGAAAUCCAACGCAGUGCUCAAGAGGUAGCAAGAAGAAUUUCUGGUGCCGUUGCCGGGGAAGCUCACGCAAGCAAGUCAACCAUACCAAGUACCCAUCACAAUCCCUAUCUCUUGCAUUACAUUAUUUGCCAUUUGCCUCUCGUUUUCCUCUCCCCCACUUCACCCUUGCCGUUUUAUUUGCCCUCUCUUUCCCAAUCUCCUCCUCUCUUUCCCGAUUUCCUUUCUGUUUGCUCAUGUGUUAGUUUGCUUUUCAUCAUGACUAGUUUCAUUUCAUCUCUGUUAUCUCCCGAGAAUGAGGUCUUAAAUUUUAAACAAAGGGAGGGAGAAAAUCUAAAAGAUGCUUGGUAUAGAAUUUGCAAUGCUCAAAAUAAAUCUACCAGGAAGCAAUCUACCUCACUUCAUCUUUGCAAUUUUUACGUAGGUGCUAAUCCUUCGUAUAGAUAUAUCCUUGAUACCAUUACCGGAGGGAAUUUUUUGGGUAGCCAUACUUUUGAUUCUUAUAAUGCUUUAAUAGAUAUAUUUGGCUCACUGCCCCUUUUGAUUAAUGGAACUACGUUAACUUUGGAGCAUGUUAUGCAAAGGCUUGAAGCUAUUGAAAAUAAAGUUGCUACCAUUGAAUCAAUUGAAAAUCUUGACAAAAAGAUCCACAAUCAAAUUACCCAAUAUGGAUCUAAGGUAGGAAUGACUUUGAAAAGUAUUAAAGAAAAAGAACCCCUAGUUAAUGAGAAAAUAAAUCUAGACUCCACAAGAAUCGAUAAACUUGAGGGUAUCGUUACCAACUUGGGAACCGCUUUUUCUUCCGUUCAAAACACUCCAAGUUCUUCUACUAAAAAUACUAAGCUUAUUUAUGUUCCUAAGAAUAAGGGUGAAUCAUCUAGUAAGGAAACUGCGGACCUUAAAUCUAUAAGUGUUCAUCCCAAUCUUUUUAGCAUCAUUAAGGAACCAUUUGCUAUAGAUGAAUUCUUUGAUCUUUUGCCCGAAAAUUUGUCAAUUACUAGGAAGAAAGAAAAUUCUAAAGGAGUUAAAUGCCUCAUUUAAGAUUUGCCUACCAAAUAUGGCAAUACCUAGAUCUAUCCUUGCGUUUAUGCCUAGCUAAGGGCGUUAAACGAUAGCGCUUGUUGGGAGGCAACCCAAUUUUAUUUUGUGUUUUUUGUUUUUGCUUCUGUUUAGGAAUAAAUAAUCCAUCUACCUUCUGUUUGUAUGUGGUUUUAUGUUUUAAUUAGUGUUUGUGCCAAGUAGGACCUAUAGGAUAACCUACGAUGAGAGUUGAUUUGAUUCUGCUGAAAAACAGAAACUUUGUGCGCACGAAUUUAGUUAUGAUAAAUCACAGGAACGUCCUUUUGCGUUGAUUCUUUUUGAUUCUGAUCAAUAAACAAAUUGUCCAGGACUUCCUAUUUUGGUAGAAUUUUUAGAGUUCCAUAAGUUUUCGUUAGUUACAGAUUGCUACAGCCUGUUCUGUUUUUGACAGAUUCUGUUUUUCGUGUGUUGUUUGAUCAUUUUGAUGAGUCUAUGGCUAGUAAAUUAGUUUAUAAACCAUAGAGAAGUUGGAAUACAGUAGGUUUAACACCAAUAUAAAUAAUGA